ACAACUCCACCUGCUGCCCCCCCAUCGUUACGCGCACUCCUACGCCUGCUGCCUACUUCGCUUCACUUCUCUGUACCAAUCUGUGCAACCCCCCUCACACACACACACACACACACACACACACACACACACACACACACACACACACACACACACACACACACACACUCACACACUCCCGCCCCCCAGGUCAACUGCAACAAGUCCAACAAGGAGCUGGGCAUGCAGCUGGCCAUCAAGGUGGCGCCCACCUUCCACGUGAGGGGGGGAUGGAGGGUGGUGGGGGGGGAGGGGCAGUUCGUUCCAAUUUCGAGGUUUGGGGGGAGGGAGAGGAGGGGCAGGAGGGAGAGGAGAAGGAGGAGGAGAGGAGGGGAGGAGGGAGGAGAGGGAGGAGAGGCAGGCAGGCAGCAGAACCUGCACAACUGAACCUCCGCCUCCUGUCUCACCCCUGUCCUGUUUCAUGUUGGGGAUGGUGAGAAGAGUUUUCUUCCUGGGGCAUUCCCUCACAUUGCACCCUCCAUCCGCCACCCCCAGCUCUACCGCAACAAGACCAAGGUGGCCGACAUGACCGGCGCCAAGAUGGAUAAGCUCAUCGCGCUCAUCAACCAGCACCAGCCGCCCAAGAACUGAUUGAGCCACACCCACAAUUACGACUCGUGAACUCUUUUGCGGAUGGCUUUUAGUUGUGACAAUAUGCGAUAUGCAGGGGCGGUUGAGCUGAGCUGAGGGGACGUUGAGCUGUAUGUGUGUUUGUGUGGCGGCGGCCCUGAGGGCCGCGCCACUAAGACUGGAGAAGAAGAAGCUGUUGACUGCAAAUUGCGGGCCCCGUGGCUGUGCCUGGCGCGUUGAGGAGGGGGGUCGGUCCAGACCUGGAAAUUGGGUGUGGCGGCGAGACUGGGCUGCAGAGUGCGGCGUGGUGAGGUGACUUGGGGAAGCGGAGGGGAGGCGACGGUGGAUGCGUGCCGCCGGUGGAGGCGAGGGCGGGGUUGCCCGUUUUGCAUUUGCCCCCGCCCCACCCACACGCCGCUCCUACCCCCACCCCUUGGCUUAAUAACGUGAUAUUCAAUGCAUGAUGCCGUACCGAUGGGGCGUGCGCGCUGUCCGUGUGCACGGCGUUCACACGUCUCGGGAUCUUGAUGUGCUACGACGGGAAGUAAACGACGCAGUGAAUACAGUUAUGAUGUGCAUGGAUUUGUUGUUGGCGGCGGCGGCAGGCGGGCGGGCAGGGCUCCGGAGGAGGGGCCGCGACUAUGCGGCGCAGGGCGUUUUCGCAGAUCUGUCCGGCUGAGAGAUGUGGUGGACGCUUGCGGCCUCAGACUAGAUACGUGGCUCAGCCCACUUGUCCCAUGAUAGGGGAACCACAUCUCUAGUCGCAGAUCUAGGGGCUGGGGGCUGCCAUGCACCCGUGGCGGUAGCCCUUGGCGGUAGCCCAAGGUGAUUGACACGGACACGUGUGCAACCGUCCCACUCCCAAUAAAGCAGGCAGCCGGCAUCGCUGCCUGUCGCUGCCGGUGCCUCGAAUUGGCUGUUGAUAUAUGGGUGCGUCUUCACUCGCCAGCCCGCCGCCCUCCCAAGAUUCGUGUGAUUUGGUUUCAUGACUCAAAUGCGCGGCGCAAGUGGCCGGGUCAGGCCUACGCACCCAGCAGCAGGCUGGCAGUGAGUGCCAGCAGCCAGCCCUCGUGAAGCACCAAAACACUCGAGCCAUGAUUCCAUCAAGCCAGGCUCGAGCCGCUGAUUAUGACAUUAUGUGGCGCGGAUCCAGGGGCCGGACGCCAUGUUUUCUAGCCGCUAGAAGCCGGGGUAGCCAGCAAGGUUCACACUGUACUCCUGCGCCCUCCCUCCCCAGGUGUGUGCGAAGUGCGGGCGGCGCUUACUCGGCGACGGGCAGCGCUGCCUGCAGGCGGUCGUACCAUGGGGGGGCUCACGUGCUCACGGGAAAGGCCACGUGGAGGAGGAAAGCGCAGCGCCGCCCAAUAAGCGGCACAAGCGCGCAGGCUGAGGAGCCGGCUGGCGGUGUCUAGGUAGCGGUCCGCGGUGGGGCUGGCAGGGCAUGCGCAGCGUCAUGACAAGCAGUGCGGCUGGUGACAACUGUGCUGUGUCUGGCUGCGGUUGGCUCUGCUGUGGCAUCGCGAUUGCUAUUUAGGCACCUGGUUUGGCUAUGUGCCUGUGCAAACCGACCCCGGCUAUGUCCGGGCGAUGAGGUUGUUCGGCCUCAGACUGUGGAGGGGCUCAGCCCCUUUUCCCGUGACCGGGGAACACUUGUCUAGCCGCUGUUACACCUUUCCUGCUAACUGCCCGCUGCACUGGACUGCGCGAUCGCGGGGGCUCCAUGUCCCACAAUGUCUCAGGACAGCGCUCCGUAAGCCCUCCGAACACGCACGUCCAGCCUCCAUUAAACGCACACAAUGAAACACACAGUGUCACUCCACUGCACCGCAUGCACCGCACGCAAGGCGCCACCAGCGUUGCCCCGACCACGCCCCGCCGCCAGGGGGCGCCUGGGAGGGGGUAACGGCAUGUUGGGGGCAACUGUGUGUGGGCUGGCGCCAACACCCUCGCGCCCGCCUCACUUUACCAAACAUGGGAACCUAUGUGAUCUUGAAAGCCAAAGGACACAAAAUUCAGCGCGGGUGCAGCAGACGCUCACGCGUAUUGGCCUACAGCCCUACGUAAGAAUGAGCUUUGCACUCGGCGAUGACAGCUCACAACAUGAUCAGUACGGUACAGCGGCUAAUGCGAGGAACGCAGCCGUCCUGAUCCCCCCACACGCCUUGUAUGUUCCGAGCUGGAACGGGAUACGACCUAAUAAAUGUAUUAUAUCUACCGCCAAAAAAACCUUGACCAAAAAGCACGCAUCACGCGUGAGAUUUAUAUGUGUACGUGCCUGCUUCCGCACGCACAUCCGGCCCGCAAGUCCACUCUUGACCGUGCAUAGGUUGGCCUCUUCAACAUUCACGGCACUCUCUGCUCGAGAACACUCAUGGUUGUCCUGCGUCCGGCGCCUGUGUGGCUCCGCCCCGACAGGCCCUGUAUUCCAUUCGCUCCUCUCCGCUCGUCACCGCAUCAGUGUGUCGACAUCACGAUCUUAACAAUGCACCUCUCUGACCUGCAGCCAGGAAUCCUUGACCCCAGUACUCACGGCAACGGACCGCGAGACCCCGUGCAUUCCACUUCAGUACAAGCCGGCGUGAUGUAAGGUAAGUGGACAAGAGUAGCGCGGACUUGGCCACCCGCAUGUGUGCACACUCCGUAGCGACCCGCCAUGGACCUCGUGCAACCCCACCCGUACAUGUCUGGGCUCCCCACUGUCACGCUCUCCGCCCCCCAACACGCCGCUUUCGCCACAACCCCGCAAUGCACCAACGGCACUGGCCAGGGCACAUCCACGCGGCCGCGCCUCGUCAGCGCCUCAGUCACCCCCCAACAUGCAGGCACCGACCGCAAACGCACUUCACCACCGGCGUCCCUUGCCAGUCUGCUCUCAACAACGAAUCCAAGUGCAUCCGACGUCUUAGCAAAGCAAGGCACUCACGCACAGGCGGUGCCUACCGUCUGCAAUCGUCACCGGCCUAGCAUGGUGACCUGUCAGGUCAUGCGGUGACACGGCAUGCCGUACGCAUGUAUGACUCAUGCAACAACCCAGGCGACCCCUGCAUGACAAGCCCAAGCCACGAGGCUGAGCGGCAACCGCAACGCGCCGGCACGCGUGCUCCACACCUGCAUCCGGCAUCGCCCUCAGUCCAACCCCGCCGCUACACCAGCACCACCAGCGCCAUUGCACCCACACCCGGUCUUCAGUGCUCUCCAGUGCCGUCGCGCUCAACCCAUCGCAGCCGCCGCAAGGAACGCACCAGCAACGCCCGGCCACGUAGCUCACCACCGUGUGGCCACCCCCACCCGCCUCGUCCGGUCUGCACUCUUGUGUCGGGGCACACAGCCGUCCCGCACCGUCAACACUCGCACCAGCACAUUUCAUACUAAUGGAUCUUGUGUCUUCUCUGUCCUUUGCGCAUGCGUCACUGCCCUCCACGCCCAUGCCGAGACCUCCCGCCGCACAUAUCCUGGCGCCGCACAGCCCCGCGACACGUGUCGUGCAGGCCUCCCGCCUCCCGCCCGCUCUCGCCCAACUGCAACUGAGGCGGACGAUGCCCGAGCCCCUCCCUCCCAACCCAACCCGAGCCAAGCCAAGCCACCAGGCAGGCCCAGCCGCAGCCGCAGCCACAGCCGCAGCCACAGCCGCAGCCACAGCCCCAGCGCGGGAUGCCGCAGCGGUCCCGACUGCCCAUCUGCUGCAGCGGUCCCGACUGCCCACCUGCUGCAGGGGUGCCGACUGCCCACCUGCUGCAGGGAUGCCGAUUGCCCACCUGCUGCAGGGGUGCCGACUGCCCACCUGCUGCAGGGGCGGGUGCAUCGCAGGGCUCCGGAGCUCCGCACGUUACAAGACCACCUCCAGGCCAGGUGGUCGAAUGGUUGGUUGGUUGGUUGGGUUUUCGGUUGGUCGGGCUAGUUUUUCAGCAGGAAGUUGAAGAAGUCGUCGUCGUUCAUCGCCAUCUUGGCCGCGUCGCCAGCCAGCGGGUCCACGCCUCCCACCGGCACCACGUGACCCAGGUGGUGCUGGUGGUGGUGGUGCUGGUGGUGGUGCGAGUGCAAGCCGCCCGCGCCCGCGGGGCCGCUGGGCACCUGCCCCGCGCCCAGGCCCAGGCCCACGCCGCCGCCGGGCACGCCGCCGGGCACGCCGCCGCCGCCGGGUGUGCCGUACAUGACGUCGCUGAACACCGCCCCCAGGUCCGCCGGGUCGUCCAUGAGGAUGGCGGGCUCCAGCCCGUGCGCUGCCGCCGGCACGCCGCACCCCACGCCCCCCGCUAUCCCCACGCCCGCGCCGCCGCCUAUCCCCUGGUGCCCCUGGUGGCCGUGGUGGUGCGCCCCCGCGGCGCCCCCGCCCGCCCCCGCCAUCCCCACGUCCGCCCCGCCCGGCACCGGCACCGGCGGGAAGUCCAGCAGCGCCAUUCCCAUGAGGUCGGCUGGCAGGUCCAGCGAGCCGCGCCCCGCGGCGCCGCUGCUGCGGCCCGUGCCGCCGGUGCCCAGCGACCCGGCCAGCUGCAGCUGCGGGUGGUGCGGGUGCUGCUGCAGCCCAUCCAGCAGCCCGCCCACGCCGCUGCCCAGGCCGCUGCCGUCGGGGCCGGAGGAGAGGCCGCUGGCGGACAACAGGCCGGCGGGCGGCUGCGGCGGCGACAGGCCCAGAGCGCCCGCAGGCGCGGUGUUGAGGUGCUGGUGCGGGUGGGCGUGGGCGUGGAGGCCGUGCUGGUGCGGGUGGUGCGCCUGCGGGUGCGUGUGCAGUUGCCCGUUGGGCGUCGCGUUGUGUGGCCCCGGUGGUGACACAGCCAUGCCCUGUUGCUGCUGCUGCUGGAGCGCCUGUUGCUGUUGUUGCUGCUGCUGCUGUUGUUGUUGUUGUUGUUGGGAGGCCAGGAGGCCCGCCGCCGCCUGUUGCAUCAUCGCGUGCUGCUGCUCCUGCUGCUGCUGCUGUUGCUGCGCCGCCGCCGCCGCCGCCGCCUGGAACAUGUUUUGCGGCCCGCCCAUGCCUGUGUGUUAAAGAGCACAAGGAAAACGUUGCGCAAAGACAGUGUAUGCGAUGCAUGCCUGUGUGUGUACGCGCGAUACGGGUGCACGAUCGGUGAACGUCCGGAUGUCAGCACCGCUGCACACACAGGCAGCGGGGGGUCCCAGGUCGGGCGGCGGCCCGCCCUCCGCACACCCCUGCACCAAGACCCCAGCCCACGUCCCCACCUCCAAACGCAGUAAAACCCCAUCCCCUCCACCCGUCCCGCCACCCGCCAAUGCCCCAACCCCCCCGCCCCCCCAAAGCGUCGUCCCUCACACCUGGCAGCCCGCCCAUCAUGGCUCCGUUGAGGCCGUUCAUGCCCGCCAGUGCGCCCAUGGGUCCGUUCAUGCCGCCCAUGUGGCCGCCCAUGUGACCGCCCAUGCCGUUCAUCUGGUUGGCGGCAGCCAUGCCCGCAGCCAUGCCUGCAGCAUUGACCGAACGGGAGGGGGAGGAAUGAGACACAUGGACUCUCAUGUUGGGCAGCCACGACAUGACGCAUGACGGACGGCGCUCGCGCAGCCCCUGGGUUGCGGCGGCCUCGCCUGGCAUCCAUCCGCCUGGCCACGCUGCGCUGCACCCCCUGCUCCAUAUAACCCCGUCCCCAUGGCCCCGCCCUGCCCCUGCCCUCUCGCCCGCCUGCCCCACCCACCCACCCGCCCACUCCCCAGCCGCCCCGCCCUGCCCCGCCCCCCCACCCACCCACUCCCCAGCCGCCCCGCCCUGCCCCGCCCCCCCCCCGUCCACUCCCCAGCCGCCCCGCCCUGCCCCGCCCUCCCCGUCCACUCACUCCUCGCACCCACUAGCCCCCCGCCCUCAGGCCCCCCCCCGCCCCCCCCGCCCCCCCCCCGCCCCCUCAGCCCCCCCCGCCCGCCCCCUCAGCUCCCCCUCCUCACCCUGCAUCAGGUUGGCCAUGGGGUUCAUGCCGGGCAGCCCAGGCAGCCCGCCCAUGCCUGGCAGCCCCAGCGGCCCCAGCGGGCCCAUGCCCGGCUGCAGGCCGCCCAUGCCUGCGGGGGAGGUGAGGCCGGGGGGGUGGGGUGGGGCAGCGGGGUGGGGCCAGCGGGGGCGUGGGGUUAGUGCCACAUGUUGGGACGAUGGGUGCACGGAAAGCCCGGCAGGAGGCUGUCGUACCACACAUACACACACGGCGCAUGGUUGGCCCCGAACGCCCCGUGCCGCCAAAUCAGCUCAUCGCUCCGAUGUCCUGCCCAAACCUUCCCGCGCCCCCCCUCUCUCUCUCUCUCUCUCUAGGCACCUUCCUAAGGCGCGGCCCUCCCCCAAUACACACAUACUGCCACUCACCCAGCGGCGGCGGCUGCAUGCCCGGCAGCCCUGGCAGCCCGCCCAGCGGCCCCAGCGGCCCCACCGGGCCCAGCGGCGACAUGCCGCCCACGCCCACCCCCAGGCUUCCCAUGGCGUUGAGCAGCGACUGGUUCAAGCCCGCCACCGCCGCCGCCAUGGGGUUGGCCAGCAGCGCCGCCGGGUGCGGCGGCGGCGGCGGCGAGGGGCCGCCAAAGCCGCCCGGCCCUGGCCCCGGCCCCGCGCCUGGCGGCAGGGGUAAGCCGCCCAGGCCGCCCGGCACCGCUGCGCCCGGGCCUGGGCCCGCGGCGGCGGCUGCGCCGUCCGGGCCUGACCCCAGCCCGCCCGCCCCCGUCCCGCCCACACCCCCGCCCGCGCCCGGUGCUGCCCCAGGAGUGCCUGCGCCGGUCGUCGCUGCGUGCCCGUUGGCUGCCGCUGCGCCGCCGCCUGUCCCUGCCGCCGCUGCGCCCGCCCCAGCCGCUGUGCCGCUGCCCGGCUGCGGCGGCGGCGGUAUCGCCGUCGCCUGGUUGGCUGGGUGCGUGCCCGCCUGCCCCGGCAGCGCGGGCGGCGGCGGCGUGGUGUGGGGCGAGGGCUUGUUGGACUUGUGCGCGGCGUUGUGGUGGUGGCCGCUGGGCGUCACACCCGACACACGCUUGAGGUACAGCCGGUACCUGCAGCGUUUGCGGUUGCAGAUGUGUGCGUGUUGAGCAGGCGUGUGUGUGUGUGUUGAGCACCACGGGCGGCUGAUCGCUUACACGGUACCGCACACGUCGCGCCCGCUGGUGUCAGCCAGCCGCCCAGCCGACCCUACGCCUCCCAUUUCUAUUCUUCACAGAAAUGAUAAAGAAUACCCACACCCACUGUUCCCACAGGACAUCGGCAUGCAUACGUAUGCAUACUUAUCGCCCCGCAAUAACGGCGUUGACCCCCUGGCCCCCUGCCUCCCUCAGCGCCCUCUCUUCCCAGCCCCCUUCGCUCCCUCAGCCCCUCCCUCCCUCAGCCCCUCCCUCCCUCGGCCCCCUCUCUCCCCAGCCCCCCCGCCCCCUCNNNNNNNNNNNNNNNNNNNNNNNNNNNNNNNNNNNNNNNNNNNNNNNNNNNNNNNNNNNNNNNNNNNNNNNNNNNNNNNNNNNNNNNNNNNNNNNNNNNNGCGCGUCAGGCCGUCCACACCCAUGAUCUCCAGGAUCUUCUUGGGAACAGCCUCUGUCAAAGGCGGGCGGGAGGCGUGCAGGUGUCCAGGUGUCCAGGUGCGAGGCAGACACAGCAGCGGACCAACAGAGAGGCGACAAGGCCCGGGGCCCCGGGGGCCGGGGCCCCGCCGGUCAUGCGGUGCCGCAGCCUGGUGUGGCGAGUGUCGGCAGGAGCCUGGCGACGAAGUCUCCUUCUCCUUACCCGCCACCGCUCUCACCCCCACACACAUGGCCCCAUCCCAUGGCCCCAUCCCACAGGCCCCGCCGCAGGUCCCCGCCGGCCCCACCGGCUCCCACAGGGCACUCACUGUCGAUGCCUAGCUGGUUGACCGCGUUCACGAACUGCUGGUGCAUUUCCACGCUCCACACCACCCGCGCCUUCUUAUUGGAGCCGUUCUCGCCGCCGCUCAUCAUCAGCAUCUCAUCAGUCAUGCCGCCCGCCCCGCCGCCGCUGCCCGGCCCGGCUGCGCCGCCGCUGCCGCUGCCGUUGAGUCGACACUGCGGGGUGGUGCAAAAAGGACGCAGGGGUACGACAGGGCGCGAGAGGCUGCCAAGGACAAGCAGCGGCGCCUUGCCCACACGCCCACGCCCGCGUUCACGCUGCACAUGCCCUUGAUUCAGUUUGCUGGGUUGGGCCCGGUUUACACGCCGUACACAAGCUCCCCCCCCCAACGGGCCCACACGCCGCUCCCGCUGCUCCACACACACCCCACCGCUGCAAGCACACGCCGUCACACGCACCUGGUCUCCCGUCACGCCCGCCGCAUCCGCCUUGCGCUUGUUGCGCGUCUGGUCCUCGUCCCGCUCCUGGCUCUGCUCGUCACUGUCAAUCUCCUGGGCGUGCUGUAGUUUCAAACGUCAUGCAGGUGUACAGGUUAGCAAUUUGAAAUGCGUGCUUGAAGACGGCAAUGGUUUGCAAGGCGCGGCGGGGUGCAGCGUUCGCUGGGGUGUGGGAGGGUGCACCCUCCGCCCGACGGACAACGACCUACCUGGCGACGCCUGCGGACGACGUGCUGCCAGAGGUUUCGCAGCUCCUCCAGCCGCACGGGCUUAAUGAGAUAGUCGCACGCGCCGUGCGUCACUCCGCGCAGCACGUUGCUGGUAUCGCCGUUCGAGGACAUCACUGCGAGCGAGCGAAGGACAGCCCGUCAGCGGACACCGCAGCGCAGCGCGCGAGCUGCAAGCUGCUACUUACUGAUGACAGGAAGGUCCAUUUCCAAGCCCACCAGCUCCAACAAGCGGAACCCGUCCAUAUCUGUUUGCGGGUGCGGUGCAGCAAGGAAAGGCGACUUCAGUCCUGCCCGGACAGCGCUCGCACCGCUUGCCCCGCCAGCGCUUCGCGCUCAUAUAUGGCUUACAAAGCGGCGCCCGAGACUGUGCCAAGCGUUGCGGCAGCGUAGGAACCCCGGCGCGCGAUUCCCCGGGCUCGCCGACCCGGGCGACAACGCGUUUGCCCACCUGGCAUGUAGACGUCUGAGAGGACCAGGUCAUAUUCUGUAUUCUUGUCUCGCAGAAUGUUCAAGGCCGUUGUGGCGUUGGAGCAGACGGUAACUGUUUGGCAAGAGGUCGCAGCAAGCUUAAUAGAACUCGCACACCCAACAUCCCAGCGCGCUCAUAAGGACAAGACGCGGCGCAGCGCGGUGACACCAACCUUCGUAGCUGCAUUUCCGAAGCAUCUGCUCCACGACCUUCAGGCAAAGCGGGUCAUCGUCCACAACCAGCAGGCGCAGGCCUGCUGGGAAGCCCUGCCAGUGUCCACCGGUGUGUCCUGGGUGCUCCUCGAGUUUCACGCCUUGGGAGUCCAUGGCUCAGAAUUGUCUCUACAGAACGCUACUCGGGGCUCUCAAGGCAUGCCGAGCGGCAUGCCCGUGCAUAUUGUCAAUUUACGUCCAAAGCAGCGGCCAUUUGCCCAGCGCGGCCGCGCUCGCGUUUGGUCGCCGACCGUGGGAAUGCCGCUGAGUGUGAGUGCCCGGGUUUUCCUACUGGUCCUUAAACACCUAAUAUAUCAGAUGUGUGUAUAAGAUAGCUUGAAAGCGAGCGAGCUUAGCGCAACACCGAGGAACCGUUGUUCGCUUGCAUGGGCGGGGUGUGCCGCCACACUGGUGCCAGAUGGGCCGAGCCGCUCGCGCUUUCCCCGUGCGCGGCAGCGGCAGCCCGCCGGCCACCCUAACAAAGACAAAUCAGACUCAGUGGUUAUGCUCUGACGGCAGCAGGAUGCCAGGACUGUGGCUGCACAGCGCCACAGCUGAUAACGCUUUGCCCGAGAGUGCCGCAUAUCCGCUUAGCCCAGGUCAAACUGUACGAUUCAUGACACGUGGGGACACGUGCACGUGGUUUUGCCGUAGAGCCAGACAUAACGGAACGCCAGGCCAUAGUAGACUUUCCACUCUAGGGAACAGGGCGGCAAACAAGACACCUGCAAGUAUUACCCCUGAAAAGUCCAGCUCCCACGAAGUGAAUUCCCUGCCCCACGAACACGACAGGUGCAGACGUGGGCUGAGCCCACAUAACAAUUAGCGCCUGAGGCCGAAGGACGGCCGAAAUAGCCUCACCUCCCGGACAAAGCUGGGGUCAGUUUGUAAAGCUUUACAGACACCGCCAGCCAGGCACAGCGCCAGACACAGGCUCACAGCACAGCACACCCGAAACACGGCGUAUCAGUGUAGGGGCUGCUCCCACAACACAGCCCUGGCUCCACAACACACGCACACACCUAAGCCGCAUGGCACGUGCCCCAUGCCCCUGUGCGGCCUGGGCCCUCAGUGCCCUCCAUAGCAACCGCCAGCUACCCCGGGGGUGUGUCACCUACCUCCCUGACAACAGUUGCGCCAGCCACCACUCGCCUCCACGUUCAGCACCCGCAACACCGGCCGCCACUCUGUCACUCAUACCUCGGUCCGGUACGCGAACCGCGGCCGCGGCGCCCCACCUGCUCCUCCGCUGCCCCCCAGCAGGCCGCGGCGGCUCAUGAGCGGCGCCACUAUGCGCGCAAACGGCGCCGGCCGCUCCGCCGCCUGGUUCAGCACCACCUGCGUGUGUGUGAGCGUGUGUGGGAUUGGGGUGUGAGAGAAUGUAGUGGAUGGCUGGGCGGUAUCCUUGUAAGUAUCGCAGCGAAUGCUGGAAGUGGACCUGCGCAUGUGCAUGUGCAUUCAUGCACAUGUGUGCACAUGCACAUGCAUGUGCAUGGGGACGUGCCGCCGCUCCUACCCGGAUGUGGCUGCGGUGGAACGUCUUGGAGCCGGGGCGGCCCUUCGAGUGGUAGCUGAUGCCGGGCUCGUAGGCGCCGCGCGUCACAAACACAGUGCCUGCAGCAGGCAACAGGCAGCAGGCAGCAGGGUCGCGGAGCGGCAUCAGCAGCACGUGCCGCAGGCAGCCAGGCGCCGACAGAGGCACGGGCGCGAGGAAGCCAAGAGGGGGUUGCACCACUGCGGCUGCAGCCGAUGCAGCCAACACGGCUGCUGCAGCCACACGCAUCCAUUGCCUUUCACUCCCAGUGGCGCCGGCCGGACCAGGCGGCGCCACAUCAGCCCCGCAGGCACCACCCUGUCCCUGUCCAGUGUCAGCCGGACGCCCUGACCAGUCGGCCCACUCACCCACGACCAGGCGCUCGGCGUCCAGCCCCUUGACCUCUGUGGCGUCCGCGUGCGCCGCCUCCAGAGCCUGUGCAACGUCAGGAUGGGCGCAGGUGCAUGUUUGUGUGGUGUUAGGGGAGCCAUACGCGCAUGUGUGUGUGUGUGUUUGUGUGUGUGGGCGUACAUAUGUAUGUGACUGUGGCGGCUGCUGCCCCAAUCGUAUGUCUGCAGCUGCUCCCCUUUAACACCACCACCACCACCACCACCACCACCACCACCAUCACCACCAAGACAACGCUGGUGCCACUACAGCCACGGCCGCUGCCGCCACUGCCGCUGCCGCCACUGCCAAUUCCGUUACAGCCACUGCCGCUAUCGCUACUGCCGCUACAGCCACUGCCGCUGCUGCCCACCCACCUGCAGCAUGUAGCGCGCGGCCUUGUGUGGCACCAGGCUGCACUGGGCCACAGCGUCCGGGUAGGGCAGGCCGCGGACCUGACGGGGGAGGAGGAGCAGGCGGGCGGGGAGGAGGAGCGGGCGGGCGGGUGGUGGGUUGGGGAGUGGGAGAGGGGAGGGGUGUCCUGAGAGCACAAGGGAUGAGGCACACCAAGACCGUGUAUGCGAUGCGGUGCGGUGCGGUGACGUGUUUGUGUGUUUGUGUGUGUGUGUGUUUGUGUGUGUGUGUGUGUGUGUUUGUGUGUGUGUUAUUAUGGGAAUGAGUGCGCCCGCAAAUGCGUCGUGCGUUUGGGGGGGGGGGCGCAGGGUACAGGUAGCGAGGGGCGCUGGGGGUGGCUGCAAGGGCGUGGCGCGUUGCGGCGCGAGUGGACGCCAGCUGACCAACCGCCUGCCUGCUGCCUAGGAAACCUCCACCACUUCCCUCCGUUUGCAGUGAGACAGCAACACAGUGUUGCCACGCACCCGCCGCACCCGCCGCACCUGAUCCCCGCCACCCAGCUCGGCGCCAACAGGGCACUCCACUACUCCAGUCCACCGCCCCUGGCCCUCACUACCCAGUCCCUGACCUCUCUGUCCCUGCCGCCAUCUCUCCCUUUUUUCUUCCCUGUGUCUUACCAGCUUGACAAUGCGCUGCAUCUUCUUCAUGCUCUGCGGCACGUCCAUCAAGUGCGCGGCGCCCACCUCCUCGCCGCCGCCCGGCCCCAUGGCCCAGGCGAGGCGCUGCCGCUCCUUGCGCCGCUCCUCGCGCUCGUCGUCCGCGUCAUACCUGUGCGGCGCCGUGAGGGACAGCGCGAAGCAGCGGGUGGCAGCGCGGUGUGCGGGCAGUGCGGCAUGCGGGCAGUGCGGUGUGCGGGCAGUGCGGUGUGCGGGCAGCGCGGCAUGCGGGCAGCGCGGUGUGCGGGCAGUGCGGCAUGCGGGCAGUGCGGCAUGCGGGCAGUGCGGUGUGCGGGCAGUGCGGUGUGCGGGCAGCGCGGCAUGCGGGCAGUGCGGUGUGCGGGCAGUGCGGCAUGCGGGCAGUGCGGUGUGCGGGCAGUGCGGUGUGCGGGCAGCGCGGCAUGCGGGCAGUGCGGUGUGCGGGCAGUGCGGUGUGCGGGCAGCGCGGCAUGCGGGCAGCGCGGUGUGCGGGCAGUGCGGUGUGCGGGCAGUGCGGCAUGCGGGCAGUGCGGUAUGCGGGCAGCGCGGUGUGCGGGCAGUGCGGCAUGCGGGCAGUGCGGCGUGCGGGCAGUGCGGUGUGCGGGCAGUGCGGCAUGCGGCUUGAUGUGGGCAGGGAUGCGACCGCACGAAGGCGGGUCGGACCCAGUGGCCCGGUGGUGCGACGCGGGUCACGGCGCCCCGCACGUGCACGGGCGGGCUGGGCUCCCAGUCACAGGGCGCGCUCAAUGGACAAGACGAGAACCUGAAUCUGGAUCUGGUUCCGGUGGCUCUCGAAGCCGUGCAGCCUUGCAGCCAUGUGGCAGCCACAACCCGGUAACACCAGCGGCUCUUCCAGGCUAAUGACCACUAUGCCGAAAGUGCAUGGAAUUCAACAGUGCCGUCGCUACCGCGUGCCGGCCCGCAGCGCCGAGUCCCGUCACCACAUCGUCCGUCCCCUCUCACCAGCCGGGCAUCUGCCAUGCCGGUACCUCCUGUCCCCUCCCCAGGACCCACACUCCCACAGCCUCCGCCUCCCUGCACCCUGUGUGUGUGUGUGUGUGUGUGUGUGUGUGUGUGUGCCCGCACCCACCACAUCCAGUUGCGCGGCUGCCUCCGGCCGCGCCCCGCCGCCGCCUGCGCCGCCUGCGCCAGCCCGCCUGCUGCCGACGCCGACCCUGACGCCACUGGGCCUGACGCCGCCGACGCCAGCGCAGCUGCCAGCGGGUUGGUCACAGUCUGCUCUUGGGGCUUAGCCGCGCCCUCCGACUCCUUGCCGCCGCUCCCCGAGGCGCUGCCACCGGGCACGUCGGCCGCCUGCUGCGCAGCGCUCCCGGCGUGUAGCUGCCUCGCGCCGUGCCAGCCGCUAACGGAGGCGUGCGGGGCCCAUGUGCUCAACCCGAGCCGAGAGAAAGCUGCGCUAGGUCGUUGCAAUGCAAGAAACGGGGCCACGCGGCUAGUUUGGGCUGUCGCGGGAGAAGCGGGAGUCGCGGAUGGCUGGACUUCGCGACCGCUGCUUGACGAGCACGAGCAUUCUGAUCUGCCGUAGCUGGUGGAUGCGUAGAUCACCGAGCUGAGCGUCGAAAGCGCCUGGCUAAGCGCAGCAGGCGCAUCGCCAAGCUGCACUCUUGCAAUCAACGCCCUGCUGCUCGCUAACAAAGCCAACCGAUGCGUCUCGGCACCAGACAUCCUGAAGUUUUGAUAGUCUAUCAAUCAAGGAGGAUUUCGACGUCAGGGUGCACAAGCGUCUUUGUUAGUACUCGCGCGAUUAGGCAGACAGUGCGAUGGUGAGCGACUUCAGAAACAUUCCAUAGCCUCCUUUGCGAUUUCACUUUUGGUAAGCGAUCGAGGGCGGACCGACCCCAAUCGUGAGCCCAAUUCAUGGUCCGCUUCAAACAGCGUGAACCUGUUUGCGCUUUCGUGGGAUUUGCAACGCAUAAGUUUUAAUUCUGCCUAGCCACCGCCCUUUACCUGUUAUAGCACUCGGGCUAGGACUAGGAGUCGAGGCGUCGCUGCUGCCAUCCUCGAAACCGCUUUCAGUAUUGCUUGCUCGGCGCCAUCUGUCACACGUUGCUCGAGCUUACACCGUCGAUACACGCCCAACUCAACAGCCGCGGGGUCGCGCACGCGGAGGCCCCUGAGGUGCCGGUAUGGCGGCCGCUGGCGCGGGGACGUCGGGCAGUGGCGCCGGCGGGGCUGCUGCUGCUGCGCUGGAGCUGCCUGAGGACGUGCAGGCCCAGCUGUCCACCUUCCGCCAGCUGCUGGGCGACCUGAAGGCCGCGCUGGGCGCCGCUGCGGGGGCUGUGCCGGGCGGCGGCGCGGAGCUUGCGGGGGCGGUGCCCGACUCGCUGGAGCGGGCGCGGCUGUGCCUGGCGCUGGCCAAGUCGGUGAAUGCGCUGCACCACGUCUACGUCAGGUGGGUGCAAUUCAAGGGGAUAGGUGGGAGGAUGGGAGGUGGAGAAGGCGCGCACAUCGCCGAUGCAGCGGCUGGAUCCAUGCACUACACAAUGGUCUGCGGCCACGGGGCUGCGGCUGUCAUACCCGUGCCUACCCCGCCCAGCGGCUGCGCCGCGAACCUCAGGAGGGGACACAUAGUGAAACCCAUCACCAGCCACGGCGAUGCACACGGGCUGCCCGCGUGCCGGCCUUCCCGCCUUCCUCACCCAUGAGCCACGCCACGCCAUGCCGGGCGCAGGGCACACGGCCGCGACCCCUUCACGCCCGCCACUGCCGGCGGCGUGGCCGUGGGUCGGCAGGAGCUGGACCGCAUCCGGCAGUACGACAAGAAGGUGCGUGGCCGUGAGGCGGGGGAGGGGUGACUGGGUGUCUUGCGGCUUGGGGACGUGGGCACGUGUUCAGAACUCGCCCUACUCGCCUCCCGGCACCGCUGCCGCCGCCGCUGCCGUCACCGCUGCCUACCAAAGCCGCAUUGCCCCCUCCUUCCCCUCCUUCCCCUCCUUCCCCUCCUUCCCCUCCUUCCCCUCCUUCCCCUCCCUCCCCUCCUUCCCCUCCUUCCCCUCCUUCCCCUCUCCUCCUCCUCCGCUGCCUGCCCAACAGGUCAACCGCGCCGUGUCCGAGGCGGAGCUGCGCGGCUCCCGGCGCGCCCUGGAGCUGGACGUGGCCGCCGCCAGCCGCUUCAUAGACGCCGCCAUGCCGGAGCUCAGCCAGCAGCAGCGGGCGGCGCUGAAGAGGGCGGGGCAGGUGAGGCGGGCAAGGUGGAGAGAGAUUGGUGUGGAGGGGGGCGUGGAGGGGGGGAGACGAGGUUGACCGGAGAGGGCUGUAGAUGGGACAGGGCCACAGGGGGCUGGAGGAGAAUGAGGGCUCGUGGGUGUGAGCCGGUGGGGGUUGGGGGGGCAGGAAUGGCCUGGCCUGGGGCGGUGGGGCGAGGGAGUCGGGGCAAUGGUGUGGUGGGUGUCAUCUGCGGCCCAGGCGUCCUGAGCUCCUAACUUGCGGUGUGUGCUCUGAUUUGCGCCUGGGUCUGCAGGCUGCCAAUGAGCGGAGGGGCCUGCCAGAGCGGAAGCCCAAGAAGGCGCGAGGGUGGGCUGGCGGUGGGGGCCGGGCUGGGGGUGCGGACCAGGAGGGUGAAGAGGCGGACGAGCAGGAGGAGGAGCGGCAGGAGGAGGAGGAGCAGCGGCAAGGGCCGGACGCAGACGCGACAGCGGACGGGGGCGAGGGGGCAGCGACGGUGGCGGCCGCAGCAGCAGGAGAAGCUGAGGCGGCGGUGGCGGGGGCGUCGCAGGGCACCGCCCGGCGGUCAACACGCUCUCGCGGCGGCGCAGCAGCAGCGGUCACAGAUAAUGCCACCGCUGCACCAACCCCGAGCAAGGGCAACAAGGCCAGGGGCAAGGGUAUGGCGGCUGCUGGUGGCGAUGGCGGCGCGGCUGCUGCUGCUGCUGAGCAAUUUCUGGCAGGCUUCGCUGCUAAGGGCUAAGGGAUCUUGCCGCGGCUGAGACUUGUGUCACUCGCGGGCUGAUAUUAUGAUCGUGUGGCCAACGGAAAUGGAAAUUGGUACCUGUAGGGAUACGGCGUUGUGCUGGCUCUGAGCGCAUGUUUCGCAGUAUGGCUUCUGGUCCCCGCAGUUGGGAACUGGCGAACUGCGGGCGGGUCGUGUUAACUGCGUUCCAGAAUUAUUUCGUGAGGUAUGGUGUCUGUGGUUUCGUCGAAGCCGUGUGGCGAUGGUGUUUCUCUGGUUCUGGUGUUGCCACCUUCGCCUGCACUGCGCAGGAACGUGUAUGGGGGGUUGGUUCGUGCGUCAUGUUAGUGCGGGUGCUGAGUUGGGGGUCAGUUUGCCGUGGUGCUUACAUGUGUGUGUUCAAGGGAGCUUGGGGCCCAAGUUAUGCAGACGGGCGGUUGACUUGCCCUUCUGGGUGGCGAGCGUGUUGUGUCAGGCAGAGGGCUGCCCAUGCAGCAGACUGUGGCUCCCUACCCCUGCAACACCGGCUCUGGCGGUCUGGCCCGGUGUUGCAACUGGUUGCAACGCCCCAGGCCUCGAUGGAAGGAGGAGCGGGCAUCUCAUGCCCCUCACGCAAUACCUAGUAAUGCCAGAGUUUUGCUCUAAACCAGCUGGUUUCCGCCAGGGGUGCCCCUGGUUAGCCGCUGUGACUGCGCCUCCGGACUCAUGCACGCAUGGACCACGCAUGAGCUUCAAGCCCAGCUCCCUACCUUGAACCGCGUCUUUCCUACUCCUACUGCCUUUCAUAAAUAAUUACUGACCUCGCCAAUCAAAACAGUAUCUAUUUCCAAAACCUGAAAUCAUGAAAACCCUGCGUCUGUCCUUCCUCUGCCCUUGACAAUCCCGCAUCGUCUAUAAAAAAGUGACUACAAUGGCAUCUAAUAACACGGUGUGCGAGGAAUUCGAAGCUUACAAGCGCAUGACCGACGAGAAUGCGGCACAGACAGUCCUUAUGCGGGCGGAAAUAGAGAAGCUCAAGGCUGAGAGGACCAUAAUGACCACGGGUAAAUAUUGACGUGCAGGGUGGAGCCGUAGGCGUUCGGCAUUCAAGACGUUUUCAUCGGGUGAAUUCUGGCAAUUAGAACACAUCCGAACUGCAUUCUUCGUGUCCCGUGAGCAGAGGACUUUGCUCAACUGCUGCGCCUGGGGCUAUCCUGGCUCUGCGCACCGCGCUCCUCAGGCCCAGCUCACGACAAGCAGUCAUAGCUGCUCCUUCCCUCCUAUACUCGCGGACAAUUUUGUGGGAAAUAGCGCUGUGGUGGGCGCAUACUUGGACCCGGCGCUGCCCGGCAAGGACAUUGCUGGCGUAUUCCUGCAAGCUGGUUUAGUCCUGCUGGUUUAGUCCUGCCGGUGUUAUUUUUUUGUGGCGCCCGCGUGGCGCCCGCAACCGGCCGGUGAGGGUGAGGAAGUUCUGACCGUGCUGCGGGGGUCCUCCAGGGUCAGAGGAGGCCGUACCGGUACGGGAGGUACGGGUGAAUGGCGGCCCUUGGCGGCCGGGGGGAGCAGGAGGAGAGGCUAAGGAAGACGGGCCCACGACAGGAGCGUGCUACCUUGCGUGCGACAGUCGUCCCCGGUGUGGAACUGUAGGACAGAGCUGACAAAGUAAGCAUACGGGAAUUGGGUAGAAUGUAAUGGCCAAAUGAGAUGCACGAGUGGGUAUCGUAGCUAGCGUGCCAGCAGCGCCAGAGACAUGCAUGACUCUUGAGCACAUCUGAGCAGUUUGCUCUGCCGCUUAAGUUUGUACUGUAGUGUCUUUGUUUUUGGCUGCCUACACAUUUUGAGCUGCAUUGACUGCAGGAUGCAUAGAAGAGCCAUAGCCAGGUAGGGGGCAGGCUGCACAGGCUGCAGGUUCCAAACGGCAAGAGCACACGUAGCCAUGCUAUGAGCUACGGCUGAAGGCAGCUCCCGGAAUGGCCUGUGAAUGUUAUAUGCCAACCGUGCCUAUCUACUACCUAGGGAGGAGAGGAUUUGCCCGUUAUGUGUUGCAAAUGAAGUCGAAGAUGAGACCAUGGGACCAUGUGCUCAUGCGGUGUACGGUGUAAGACCAGUUGCGUUCGGGUAGCGAGAUCGGUUUUACAGGCGGGAUGCAGGCAGAAUACGGACCCAGCCAGGAUAGCCGCGUUACUAGAUUCCAUUUGGGAGCACAGGAGCAGAAGCACCCCUAUUUGGGGACCAAACUAGCUGCAUGAAAAAGUGUUGCAGGCGUUAUAAGGGCCCCCCGGCCCGGGCCUCGGUUUCUACAAGGACAGGAAUGCACGUUGUGCUCACCACCUUGUAACCACACACAACACAAUAUGCAUUUCGUAGCAGGCCAAGAGGUGGGAGGCGUAAGUGGCGGUGAGGCUGUGCGAACCAGACUUGCGGCUGGGUGAUUGCGUGCGGCAGCUAGGAUGGCCUAAACAUAGCCGUUGAUUGCACUGAAACAGCAGAGACAAGGUAUAUGUGGUGUCCCCUCUCAAAGAGUGAAGUGCGCGGCAGGGGCUGUGUGGCGAAACCGGAUGAUCCAUACAUCCAUGUGUAUAGCCGAGGGUACUUGAUUGGCGCAAGCUAAGCGUGUGCGUGACAUGUUUGGAAGUGUGGAACGCAGUAAGCCAGGCCACUCAUGCAGGCCACUGAUGAAGUGGACAAGCGGUCCGUGACCACACGGGUGUUACCGCUAUCUAGUGCGUCCGGCGGUCCGGGUGCCAUCGCUAGUGCUCAAUCCUUGCUUGGUCCAUCCGGGCCUCCCCUGAUCCGGGCCAUACCUUAGCUACUGCCGCCCCUGGCCCCACGCGCCCCGGAACCACACGCCCUCCCUGCACCCAGCCGAGCCCAAAUUAGUACAGUACGGCGGUACGUCCGGACCCAAUCGCGCGCGUGCCCAGCUGCCGGGCGGUAGCGACAUACCCGGCAUCCCUCCUGCGGUCCCGCCACCAAUGACCAGUGUUGUGGAAACGAAUGCGUACGUAGACCAGAGCGGAUGGCGGAGUCACGGGCGGAGUGGGCUUGCAGGCCACCAAUGACGCUCCUCAUGGCAAUACUGCUUGCCUAUUCAGGCUAUGAGGCUACCAAGCUAGCUACCAUAAUCAAAUGACGACUGUCAAGUGAGUACAAAUCUGCAAUGUAGGGUCAGGUCAAGCCUUCAUUGUAAACUGGCGCUCACCGUCGAACACGCAUUCAUUCACCUGACCCGCUUAACUGCUGCUCCAAUCACGCUCCAGCAUCCAGUUGUGCUCAGCCCGCCAGGGCCGCGAUUCACUCCAUGACACAGUCCGAUUCGUCCCGUCAAUUGGGUCCCGUCCACAAUCUACCAUACGGUAUGCACACUCUCGUAUCACACCAACAGCAGUGUUCUUAGGCCAUUACGUGUUCUUGCAAUUCCUUUCUCCGAAGUCGUUGCCAUACGUCAUGCAAAUGCGGACAUGUCGGUGCGGAAUACCAAGCCACGUGCCAAAGGACAAGGCAGGGCCUGGCAGGGCACGCCAAGUAAGAUUGUGUCCCGUGUGGGCACUGCACACACGCAGCAGGCAUGCUCCCCUACACAAUCACCAGGGGCUACCAACAUGGCUUGGUGCACGACAAUGUUUCAAAGACAUGCGAGAAGGAAUGCAGCAGUGACCCUGCACACCUGCACACAACCCACUUGUCGUAAUACAUGAUACACACCAACACAUGCUACAAGCACACCAUGUCAGCUGCUGCUGCACCCAUGUAACAUCGCUGUCAGUUCUCUCAUAUGUACAUUAGGUCACGCCAGUCCACGCCCUAAUGCAUCUAGCUACGGCGAGCCGGCAUCGCCAUCUAGAUCUACACACGCAAGGACGCGCACCGAAGUUCUUGAAAGCAGCAUGCAGCCUACGAGCUGCACGUGUCGGACUUCUGGCACCAGCUGCAUCUGCUGCUGUGAUGCCGACGAAGCCAUUAUUCAGACGCCAUCGCCUGUGAUACCGAUUCAUUGCGCCUGCUGAUUCACAGCAGUAUGCAGCCUGUGAGCUGCAGCAGCAACUGGACUUAGGCAACACCUCAUGCGCACUUGUGGUGCACCGCUGUCGCCACACGCUGUAUGUUUUGGAUGCGUGGCCCCCCUGCUUCACCUGGCAUGCAGGUUUGUGGGAAGGGGCGGGGCCGUGGCAUCAGAGGACUUGGAUGGAGCCGCGCUUCUUGCGGGGUGCUGGUGGCCGCGUGCGGGACGGCGGCGGCGAGCGCGUCCUCUUGGGCGGCGGACGCGGUGGCGAGCGGCGCGGCGGAGCCGGCGAGGGAGGUUGGGAGGCCGGUCGUGGGGAGGUAGGGGAGGGGGAGGGCGGUGCAGGUGGCGAUGGUGGAGGCGGAGAGGGCGGAGGCGGAGAGGGCGGCGGUGGCAAAAGAGGAGGCGUUGGCGACGGCUGAGGGGGUGCCGGAGGCCUGGGGGACGGUGGUGCCGGCGAGGGAGGAGGGGAGCUAGCCUGCAGGGUGGAUGUAGGCGGCACGCGGCGUACUUGUCAGCAGGGCGCAUUGCUGCACACGCCCUGCCGUCUAGCCACAUCCACCUUGCGUGAGCUAUGCCACCAUGUGCUACCAUACAACCCUACGUACCUGCAGCCUCAGCACUCGCACACUGGGGCGCAAACAUGUACGCACCUGCUGCAUGCCGCCGCCGCCGCCGCCGCUGGUGUCGCGGGUGCCGAGCUGCCCCUGGCGCACGUAGGCGGGGUUGAGCUCGGACGCCAGUGUUCCGCUGAAGUGCCCCACCACCGCCACCGCCCAGCGCUGGGGCAACAGCGCGUCCGGACCCGACAGCAGGCGCGAGGGCAGAGAGUGCGCCGUCACGGUGAUGGUGAGGGCGGCGCCAGGCGACGGGGAGGUGAUGUACACACGUUCAACCGUGUUCAGGCGAUCGGGGGCGGGCAGCACUGCGGCAGGUGGCAGCGGGGAUGGACAGGGGUAGGUAAGAGGGCGGCGGGGACAGCGUCAGGCACUGCUGGGCGAAAGGCCGCGGUAACGAAGUGUUCCACAAGGAGCAAUCAACCGUAUCAGCCGCACGUGUGCACUCACGCGCUCCCUCGGGGUUGUUGCCCAUCAGGCUUUGUGGCGGGCUGCCGUCGCGGCCCCCGCCCAGGCCCACGGUCAAAUCCAGGUCGUUGACCAGCUGGGCCGCCGAGUUGACGUCAGCCGGGUAGUCGUACCAGGUCAGCACAAUGGAGAUGGGCCUGUUGAUUGGGUGGUGGGAAUACGGGUGUAAAAUUCACUGGCUCACUUCCCGACAACACACGGCAACAAGCGCAUUAUAUCGUAUAUCUUCUAACCACAUGAAUGUGUCAAUAUGUCUCACCCCUUGCCCGUGGCCGUGAUCCCUGUGAGCGCCGCCUGCUGGCCGCUGGCGGUGAACUGGCCGCGGUCCGCCACCUGGAGCGAGAAGCCGGCGGGCGUGAGGCCGGGCAGCGGCAACGUGUCCGGCAGGCUGAGGCGGCCCCAGCCCUGGUAGGCGUCGGGCGGGGGGCCCAUGGGAAUGCCAAGGGCCAUAGCCAGGCCACCCUGUCGGGUAGGAGCAAUAAGUGCGAAGUGGUGGUGGACAUGUUAGCAGCAGCCCUGCGCAGCUGUGUGUUGCCUGGGAAGUGCCUGUAGGCUCUGAUUUGGCUGGGUCUGGUCAUACGUCUUGAAGUGCAUGCGCUAUUUGAUCCGAGCUACGCUAGUAUUGCCAUCGCAUGUCCAUGCGCCCUGCAGUGCGGGCAACGCCGUCCACGCACCAUGAGGCUCUUGGCGCCAGCAAUUAUGGCAGCCUGCGGUGGCGGCAGCACAGAUAGCAAACGCUCACACGGUUGCCAGCAACGCGCCUGAGAAACAGGCAGCAAGAAUGCAGGUGCGUGCUGGUGACAGGCAAGCGCACCGCACCUUGAGCAGCAUGCCGCUGGGGGUGAAGGGCGCGGCGGCGGCGUCCGCCGGGGAGCCGGUGGGGUAGAAGCCGGUGCGCAGGUACUGACGCACCAGCGCCGUGUGGCCGGCGGCGUGCGGGGUGGCCAUGGACGUGCCGCUCAGGUUGGCCUGGGCGGGUGAGCAAGCGCCGCCUGCAAUGGCGUGUUCGAAGCCAAAGGCAUGGCAUGUAGUUCACGUCUCUCCACGGGUUGCCCUCCAUUACCAUAACCACAAUCGCUGUACCACACAGCCUGCUCGCUCGCCCCCAUUCUUCUGCAUGCUGCCGGAGUCCCUACCUACCCGUGAUGCCGCCCCUGGCGCCUGCACUGGUGAUGUACAGCCCGGGCGCCACCACAUCGGGCUUGAUGCGGCCGUCCGCCAUGGGCCCGUAGCUGGAGAAGUAAGCCACGGUGUCGGGCCCCGCGGCCUCCUGCAGCCAGACAGCAGGCAGCAGCAGGGAGAGUGCAUUGCGAAAUGCCUGCACGUUGCUGCCACGUCCCGCCUCCUGCACCUUGCCAACGCCCAUGAGUCGCGUCCCGUUUCCUGAGCUGCACUCGCGUGUAGCACUGACCCGCUUCGUGGAUCGAGUGCCCGUGUCUGCUUUGUUCCCCUCCUGAACUCCCCGGCUUACACGCACCACGAUUGACCCCCGGGUCCACUACACAACAACUUACCACGAUGUUUGCCAGGGUCAUCAAGACGCCGGCGCUGGCGUUGCCAAGGAGCCACUGACCCAGUCCCUGUGUGGCGCAGUGCGUUGGGCGCGUGAUGCACGCGCACCCCGGCGUCCAGGGUCAGCUGUCAGUGGCCACGUGUCCGGGGAUGUGCGUAGUUCGCACUGAUUCCUGGUGCAACAAAGACCUGUGCAAGUCUGAGUUGCCGUGUGCCCGCUGGCGCACCCACCUGACUGAUGACGCUGGUCGCCAUGUUCGCGGCAUAGGAGUUCGAGUUGGGGUAGAUCGGGUAGGGCGGGCUGUCCAUCAUUUCCGGCACAUUGUUCACAAAAAUGAUCGCGCCGCCGCCCGCCGCCCGCACAUUUAAGACCUGCGACAAUCAAGUGGGUGUCUCAGUCGCUGUCCAUGUACACUCAGCACCGGGUUCCCGAGGACGUCGCCAACAGAUACGUCUGGUGUGCAGCACGCCCUGCUGUGUUUCACUCCCUCCGCGCCAGCCCUGCCCUGACCUGACCUGAACUUCAGUCCCCACCCAGCCCUGGCCCACCUUCUGGUAGAACCAGCACUCGCCGCGCACCGCCAGCACCACCGCCCCCCUGACCUCGGCCGCCGGGUUGGUCAGCGGCGUGCAGGCGUCGGGCGGGUCGGCCACCACAAGGGGAACCUGGGGGUGGCGAGGGCAGGUAGAGGGAGGCGGGAGGUGAAAGCAGGCGGGGGGAGGGGGGCGCGGCUAACAGCGAGGGGAGGUCUGAGCGCCAAGAGCGAGAUCACAGCGACACCACUGCCAAACAGCGCGGCCGUACACCGUGACUGACCGACCGGUAGUGGUACCUAAAGACCAGUAGUAUUCCACACGGCCUGUUGCCAAGUCUGCCCCUUCCCACCGCACACACACGUAUGCCCCAGUCCGCACCUCCGAGUCCGCCGGUAUGACCCGGAGCAGCUGCGGCAAGUCGGGGUUCUCCUCCGGGUACAGCUGCGGGCACAGGGGGGCGGGGUUCGGGGGGAAGGAGGUUGCCACGCGCGUGCAUCCUGAGGUGUGUUGGGACGACCUGAAACCAGGCACAAUAUGCUUCCUAAACUGCUGCCCUAAGCAUGAAGACGUCCAGUGCAAAAUCUCUGCGUGCCUCUUUUCUCCCGUGCCGCCAAAAUGUCCAAGCCGCAUGGCUGCCACCCACCCACCCACCCGCCCCCCCCCAGUAGCAGCCGCCACGUCUCCACACCCUCACCGCCAGCCUGAACAGCUCCGUGGAUGUGGAGGCGUCCAGGUCGGCGGCGGGGUUGUACCCGCGGACCUGUGUGCAGCCGGCCAGUGCAGUUUGUCUUUGUGUCACACCUGCAUGUCACACCUGCGUGUCACACGUCACGUACGCGGUGCACGGCGCACGGGUGCCUGGGAGCGCAGGGCCAUCCCCCCGACUGAUACGUGACGCCAUCAUGUCCCUCCGCUGCCUGCUGACUCACCUGCAGCAGCCGCGCCCCCAACCCCAGCUCCGCUGGCACCCGCCAGGUCGCACCCACGGCCACGGGGUUCUUGGCGGUGGCGGGCGCACCAAUGCUGCCGCCCGGGGUCAGCGCGUCAGAGCCUGUGCGCGCAGGUGUGCGUGGAAGGAGGGAGGGUAGUCAAACCAUUCUUACAGCAUCCGAGGCCGAGAAAACGCCAAACCAGCCCAGGGGACCAACGGGGUGGAGGCCAGCGUGAAGCGUGCUGGCGCAGGUGGGUGCUGUGCGUGUGUCUGGGCAGUGUCGCUCUAAGCCCCUACCGUUGUUGCCGGCGGCGAUGAAGGCGAUGGAGUCGGGAUUGCGCCACAGGAAGGCGUCGUAGGCUGUGGGCGCAUAUGCAGCAGGCAGGCAGGGCAAGAACGAACACGCCGUCGGGCAGGGAGCAAGCAGUUCUUGGAGGACGUGUGGUUAAAAACGUCAGGGCGAACAGGUACCGCACAGCCCGGUGCGCAACACCAGACCAGCUCCCCCUCCUCCCCUCUUUCCCUGCUCCUGCCGCAGCACACCGCAAUUCGCCCUCCCCUGUACCGUUACUGCACCAGCGGCCCACGUGCCCCAUCACUCCUGGCCCUCUCACCCUGCGCGAAGUCGUCAUAGAUGUUCGCGACUGCGCCCCAGCUGUCCGAGGUGAUGCGGGCCCCGGCGUCAUAGUGGAGCUGCAGAUGGAAGGAAAUAUGCGGUAGUCGGACGCGGUGCGCUUGCAGACAAACCGACAAAGUCCGAACCGCGAAGGCAGUGCGGUGCGGCCCUGCCCUCCAACUGCCACCCAGGGCUGCUAGGAAACACAAUGGUCACCGCCCGAACCCGCCUGCACCGUACUGCACCACCUCGCCAACCAGCUCCCGCCCGCAGGCACCGCACGUGUCGCACAACACCAACUUCCGCCCGCUGCGCCAGGCCCCACGUCACCACGCACCCCGCACUGCCGCGCGCCUGACCCACCCACCCACCCGCAGGUACACGUCAUCCACCGGCUCCGGCGGCCCCAGCGCACCCUGAGGGGCGGCGGCAGUUGACAGGUGGGGAGACGGAGCGAACGCCUCGCAUCAGCACAACAACCAUUAGCCAGUCACGCAUACAGGCCAUGCAUGUCAAACUUGUGUGUGCAUCAGGCCCCGCCCAUGCACACACGUGGUUGCUCAGCGUCCUCCCCUCCACGCCUGUUGGGCUACCCAACAUGCUCCAGGCCCGAACCACACACCUGCAGGCCGCCUGCGGCGGCGGCCGUGAGGCUGAUGUCCACAAAACUCAGCUUGGCCCGCGGCGCGGCGCCGCUGCCCGCGUCCAGCCCCGUGGGUCCGUAGGCCGCCGCGUCGCCCGCCGCGCCGCCCAGCACGGAGCCGUUGUAGCCGGGCGCCAGCUGCAGCGCCAGCAGGGCGCCAACCAUGGAGCCCGCGGUGUGGGUGCCGUGCCCGGCGGUGCCCUGCGCCGGGUUGUCGCCGUAGACGCAGUCUGCAUUGCACGUGUGCAGGCACGUGUGUGCAUGGGGCAAGCGCAGGACACAACGUCGUUUCCCCUGCCUCGGCGCGGCCCCACUCAUCUUUAUGACAGCGUAGCCCUUUACAUGCCUCGUUCGUAAUAAGCGCAAGGAUAAUAGGACAUGCGGGGUUGCAGCGUUGGGUUGCAGCCCCUGCUCCAGUGGAUUCCGGCCGUCCCACCUCCAUCUCGCACCGACGGCACCGUGCACCCUGCUGCCUCCCCCCCGUCCGCCCCCAGCAGCACCCUGCUGCCUCCCGGCCCCUAGCCCACCAGCCCGCUCACUGUUACAUGUGCGCACCCCAGCUACGCGCCCCACGCACCCGCGGGCAGGUAGUACUGCACCAGCUUGCGGUGGUCGGAGGGCCGCCACACGCGGUCGCCGGGGCGUGCGUAGUAGCCGCCGCCCUACAGUUGCAUGUGCUCCAUGGAUCAGCAAAAGCUUGGGAGCCAAAGAUGACUCAUGCCAACUGUACGUGCCCAUUCAUUCUAGUUGGAUGGGUAUGUCGUUUGUCCGUUAUACCCUUGGCGCUGCACAGUGCACACCCACCUGUGAGAAGAGAAACUGUGUGGUCACAGCCGCCAGCUGCCCCGCCACUGCGCCCGAGUCGUAUCGGGGGUCGGACAGGUAGCAGUUGUCCAGGUCCACACCCGUGUCGCCCGACUGCAGGCGGGCGUGGCGUGGUGGGCGGGCAGGUGGGGCAAGCGCGCGUGUGUGUGUCUGUGUGUGUGUGUGUGUGUGUGUGUGUGUGUGUGUGUGUGUGUGUGUAGUUGUGUAGUUGUGUGUGUAUGUGCGGAAAGGUGGGCGUGUGUGUGUGUGUAUGCAGGUGGACGCGAUGGGGCACCAGCAACAGGUGAGGGCAGAGGAAGUAAGGAGGAACAUGGAGCGGGACGACAGCCCAACAGCAGUGUUGCCAUAACAACGCAAGCGGAAAGGACACACUCACCCCCAGGAUCUCGCCGCUUCCGUCCAGCCCCGCCGCCCAGUAGGGCCGCCGCGCCGCUUCCGCGCCGCUGCUUUCGCUAGCUCAGUUUAGCUUGCUAUAGCUCAGGCUGGCUUUUAGAUACCCCCCCCCCCCCACACACACACGCCCCCCCAGCCUCCAUACGCCCCCCCAGCCUCCCCUCCCCCAUCCCCCCCUCCUUCCCCCCCUAACCUGAUGCUGACCGCCAGGCGGCAGUCCAUGGGGCUGGGCGCCACAGCUGUCACGGGGCCGCCGUGCCCCGUCAGCGUGUGGCGGGGGCGGCCGGCCGUGGCGUCCCACAGGUGCAGGGAGCGGUCCGCGCCCGCGGCCAGGACCUGGGGGGCAGGGGGAGAGGAGGAGGAGGAGGAGGAGGAGGAGGAGGAGGAGGGGGGUGGUGUAAGGGAGGAGGAGGAGGAGGUGGAGGAGGAGGAGGAGGGGGGGGGGCGUACAUACAUGCGAGACGUAGUGGGGUGGGAUAGGAGAGAGGUGUGCCAACACCCGGUUGGAAGCCCGCCCUCGCGCCCUCAACCGCCCUCGCGCCCCCACCCGCCCUCGCGCCCCCACCCUCCACCACCACUCGCACGCAGUCAGUCACCUGCGCCGCGUCGCAUGUGAAGGCGCAGUCGUUCACGCCGCCCGUCAUGCCAUGCAGCAGCACCGCCGGGCAGGUGGAGGCGCCGGCGCCCCCGCCGGGAAUUGAACCCGGGCCCACCAGCAGCGAAAUGUCCCACAGCGCCACUGCGCGGUCGGCGCCGCAGGAGGCCACAAAGUGGCCUGGGGAGGGGCAAGGGGGGGAGCAUGAAAGAGGGGGGCGGAGAGGGGGGAGGGGGGUUGCAAGGAUGUUCGGAAAAGCGGUACAAGAUGCACUGAAGACUGCAGACGAAGUCGUUACCACAUAGUUACUGGCCCAAACUAAAUCAUCAAACCAAGCGAAAAAGAGCGGAGCACAGGCAGAAGGGAGUAUCUGGACUCUGGAGGGGGCACCGCCUGGUGGCAGUGCGGGGUUUAGCUUGUGCGUGUGCGUCCCGGCGGCGGGCUGUGGAGGUUGCGAUGCCGCGGCAUCUGCGCACUGCUGCCGCACCACAACAACCACCACCACCACAACCAAGCGCCACCACCAAACGCCACGACCAAACGCCACCACCGAACGCCGCCCUCCGCCACACCCUGCACGUACGGUACCCGGUCCUAGCCCAACCCCAUCUUGCCCAUCCACAGUCCGACAUGCACACAAUCCCCACCCACACAAAGACGGUGCGCAUACACCCUCACACACACACACAUUCCACACCACACAAUCUACACCCACACAAUCUACACCCACACAAUAUCCACACUCCCCCGCGCACUCGCGUGCACUCACCGGGUACCUGCGGUGCCAGGCUGGCACAGCCGCCCUUGUGGCCGUUGGGCACCACCCGCACCGGCAGCCGGGAGGGGAAGCGGUGCUCGGGAGGGGUGAGCGAGGGGUCGUUGUCGUACGGCGUGUGCGCGUGCGGCACGAACCCUAGCCCGCCGCCACCCGCCCCGCCCGCCCCGCCGCUGCCGGGCCGCCCGCCCAGGCCCAUCACCUCCCGCAGGCUGGUGGGGAUGACGCCCAAGACCGAGCUGGCGGCGGCGGUUGCGGCGGCGGUUGCGGUUGCGGUUGCGGUUGACGGCGUCGCGGUGGUUGAAGGGCCUGUUGCUGCCGCUGGCGGCGGCACCACUGGCGUAACCCACUCCCCACUGGCGUCGUCACCGCCGCCGCCACCACCGCCGCCGCCGCCGCCGCCGGCGCCGCCGCCAGGGCCUGCCGGUGCAAGCGACGCCGCCGACGCCAGUGGUUGCGCCAGUGGCGGCGGCGGCGCGCUGGGACUGAUCAUGACUGAUGCAGUGCUGCCGGCGGCGCCGCCGUGUGGGUGUGCGCCGCCGCCAGGGCCGCCGCCGCCGCCGCCGCCACCCGCAGUUGACGCCGCCAUGGCACUUGCCGCCGCCGCGCCCGCCAGUGCCGCCGCCACCGCCUUCUGCCGAAUGAGGUCCGUCGCCUGUGGUUACGGUCGUGUAGGUUGUGGUCGCUAUGGUAAUUGGGGGGGGGGGCUGGUGGGUGCCAGACUGCUGGUGGUGUGUGUGGCACUGUGGUUGUGUGGGCGGCUGCCAAUGUGCCAAUGUGCCAAUGUGCCAAUGUGCAAACACGAGCAGCAGGAUGCGCCGACACACGGGGUUCGUGGGCAUACACACAGCCCCCAUCGCUCCCCCGUCUCCCUCCCUGGUAAGUACAACCCCCCCCCUCCACCUUCCCCCUUGAUAUUUACACACACCGCCAUCACUCCGUUCUCCCUCCAUGGACGGCUGCCCCCCACCCCUACCCCGCCCCCAAUCGCCAAUGCCCCCCCCCCACCACCAGCCGCCUGCACACACACCUGUCGGUCCAUCUCCGCCUCCCGCUUCAUCCGCACCGCAUUCUCCAGCUGCACACGUGUGUCAGCAAGAAAACACUUAACAACACUUGUGUGUUUUUGUGUUUGUGUGAAGGGGAACACGAGGGACAGGGUGCUAACACAGAGCCCCCACAGCAACAGCAGCAGCAGCAGCGGCAACCCACACCGCAUACACCGCAGCAACCACGUAGCCUCCAUCGCCCCCUCCCCAUUCUCCACCCCCACUCCUACCCCCCGCCCUCCUCCCCUUCCUCCUCACACCGCACCCACUCACAUCAGCACCUCAACACUCCCUCACACCCCUCCCUCACCAGCUCUUCAUGCAUGCGGUUGAGUUCAUUCAUGCGCCCCGCCUCGCUCUCCUGCAGGCGUGUGUGCACGUGAGGUGGAGGACCGGGCGGGGGGCGGGACAGGAGGGCGGUACCGGACAGGAGGGCGGUAGGAGAGUUGGUACCGUAGCGAAACACAAAAGACAGAAUGAAGAUGCACACAUGUAACAGAAUGGAAAUUCACACACGUGACAGGAUGAUUCCCAACCGAGUUCAUGUCGCAGUUCAUGCGGGUGGGCAGCAGCGGCACGCGACCACACACCCCAAGUCCAGUACAGCCCAACACGAACCCAACGUUCAAUCCGCCGUACAUGGACAGCUACCCAACUCCCCUCCUCUCCCUCCCCCACUUCCCCCUCUUCCCCCUCUUCCUCGCUCCCUCCCGCCUGCCUCCCCCCACUGUGCUCCUCUAGUUUAGCUCCGUUUGGUUUAGUUUGGGCUGGUAUACACGACCCCCACCUUUAUCUCCACCAGCCUCCGCACCAGCACCCCGUUCUCCGCCCGCAGCCGCUCCGAAUCCGUCAGCGCCGCGUCGCGAGUGGCCAGCGCCGCCUCCGCCUCCGCCGCCGCCGCCACCCGCGCCGCCCGCUCCGCCUCCAGGGAGGCAGCCAGGGAGGCGGCCUGCUCGCGAAGGGCGGCGAUCUCGGCGCGGGCCUGUGUCGCGCGCGUGUGUGUGUGAGAGAGAGAGAGGAGUUUGAGUGAACGAAGUGGGGUGGAGUUUUACACAGAUCGACACACACAUAUACACACCCACAAACACACACACACACACACACACACACACACACACAAUCACACACAAUCACAUUCUCGCCCCCCCCCCCCGCACGCACACAGAGCCCCCGCAGCCCCCCCUCCACACAGAGCCCUUCCCCCCACCUGUGCCAGCUCGGUGGAUGCGGAGGACAGGGCGCUGCGGGUGGUGGCCAGUUCCGCGUUGGAGCCCACAACCUCCUGACGGGGUUGAAGGAGUGCGUGCGUGUGGUCGUGGUGGGGGUACACUUGGCACUUGGCACCCCCCAUGAUCCACUCCACGCACGCCCUCGCCGUCGACUCCCAUCCUCCCACCGCCUUUGGCAGGCCCCCAGGUUCCUGACAAGUCCGAAUUUCUCGCUUCCCCUCCUUCCGCAACCCCCACCAAUUCUCCCUGUCGGCGCUCCAAACUCGAGACUUGCUCACUCUGCCUCUCCGCUAUUCACUCACUCCAUUCCUCACUCCAUUCCCCACCCCACCGGUCAUCGAGCCCCCCUCACCUCCAGCAGGGCCGCCUUGUCUCGGUACAGACCCGCCAGCUGCCCCUCAGCCCGCACCAGACCCGCCCGCGCGCCCUCCAGCGCGGCGGCCAGAGAGGCGGCGGCGGCCUCGUCUGCGGCGGACAGCCGCCUGCGCGCGCGGACAGGGGGGGGGCGAGGCCGCGUGUGUGUGUUUGGGGGGGGGGGACAAUCUUGCUCACCCCUCUCCCGCCCACCGUAACACCUCCCCUUCCCCCACACACAUUUCCUUAACUAGUCAUGAAUGUAACCCCCCCCCCCACACACACAUACCCUCGAUCCCCGCCCGGCUAAACGCACGCAAUACAAACACACAGUCCCGCGUGUGCGAUUUAUACACACACAGUCACACAGUCACACACACACACACACACACACACAUACGCACACAGACACACACGUACGCCCACACCUACACGCCCCCACCUGUGCAGGGCGGCGUUUUCGUCCCUCAGUUCGGCCGCCUCCUUGUCCAGCUGCAGCAGCCGAACCUGGGAGCCGUGGGGGGUAGGAGAGGAGGAGCGGAGGAGGAGGCGGGAGGGAGGCGGGGAGGAAGGCGGAUGGGAGGGUGGAUGCCGGAGGCGGGUUUGAGUGAUGCUGCCUCGUCGGCACCUCAGGCCGCAGCCCCAAAGGCCGUGAUGCGUCACACCUACCUGAAACCCCCGCAUAGCCACCAACCGUCAUUAAGCUUUCUCACAUGCACAUCAUCACUAAACACACAUCUACACCCACAAAUCAACCACACACACACCCAAGCCCCAUUCUCCCACCUCCAGCUCCCGCGCCCGCUGCAGUCCGGCCGCAUAGUCGGCGAAGGGCUGGCUGAAGGGCAGCGUCUGGGUUGCGCUCAGCCGCUGCAGCUGCUGCAGCACGUUGCCCACCACCCAGUCCGGCGCCACCGCCAGAGCCGUGGCUUGCAUGGCGGGCUGCGCUCAGGCUGGGCUGUGUUCCAGUCUGACGGUAUGAUGGUAUGAGGAGGAGGUGGGAGGUGGAAGGUAGGGUGGCCGUGCCGGGUGCUCAGGCGGGCCGCAGCGUGAGGGCAGGGUGGCACUGGCCCGAGCCCGAGACACCACUAGCGGCGAGCUGGGGCUCGCUGGAAUGACAGUUAUUAGCCUUGCGUAUUGCUUAUGAAUUCAGCUGCGUCGCCGGAAGGCGAGGCGGAACCCUAGAAAGAGCCCAAGCUCUGGCUGGAAGCUCCAGCAUGCAAAACAGCUAUCAUUCCAUUAUUGCAUGAAGCUCAUUGCGAACGCAGAAGAAGACUGAAAGUGGCAGCAAGACUGUCCCGUGUCCGCGUCACGCAACGUCUCUGUUGUUAGCGUAGCAUUAAAUACAUCAGUAAUUUGGUACGCUCAAUUGUUGCGCAUAUAAUUACUUGUGCGCCUCAGCUUGUCAAGCUCGUUUCCAAAGAGCUGUUACGCUCCGCCGAUGGCACGCGCGCGGUUGGCACAGUAUGUACCCCAGCAAGCUGACGAGUGACGGCGUUGCGCAAGCUCAGGUGAACUUGGUGCAUCGGCGCGAGCAUGCGGACGGCAAUGUACCACCGUGCCCGCAGCCUUCUGCACUGCGCCCGCGAUCGCCGCCACGCGCCCCAAGCUGCUGUCCCCAUAGGCCCCCCAGUUGCCCCCAUGACAAGUCCCGCCUCUGUCCACGCCCGCAGGCGCAGCGCACGCUUGAACGCCCUACACAACCGUGGUGCCCUUUUGGAAAUGAAUGAACAGGGCCCCACCAUGAGUUGGGUUGGGCUUGUCCAAUGGGUGGAUAAAUGUGUAGUCCCGGUCAGGCCCCAUUCGGGUCCCCGCCGUGCUUGGCUUCGCCUGGCUUCCCGCCCAACACCCCGCAAGUCUUUCCGCCGUGUGCACCCCUCUGCAUGCACCAACCCCUGUCUAGCCGCUUUCCGGGGUACCACGUCACCCUGCUGCCACCGCUUCUCCAACAUCCGAUCUACCUCGAACUACUCUGUAACACAAGCGAAUCCCGCAUCCCCGCGCCCCAAAAAGGAUAACAAAGACGCACACCUCCCUCUCACAUCGCGUUGCUCUCCUUCGACUGCGGUACUCCGUGUCUUGUACGUCCGCACCAAGCCCUGCCAUGGUUUGCAUCAAUCUGAAACGCCCUUGACGCCGCCCGGACAGCACGGCACGAGGCCAAGGCGCUCCCAAACAUCUGGUACCUGGCAGCGGGUGCUCCUGUGCACGCCUGCGUCAGGGAGUGAGUAGAAUCACUAGAAUGCCCCAAUCACACAAUCACAUGCACACCAUUGAGCGCGCCAUGCCGAUCCAGUGACCCACGUACGCCAUGUGCAAUGUCAAAGCCAUGUGGCAUGCGCAGCAGCAUGCGUGACUUGCUAUGUAGCGAUCACUCACAUCCGCCCAUUUCUUCUCUGUUUGUCUGCUUGCCUGCUACCCCAGCCCCAGCCCCCGCCCCAGCCCGCGCCACAGCGCCCCCACCGCCAGAGCCCCCACAGCCGCACGCGCCAGCACCGCACACUGCCUAGCGUGGCCGCCCCGCCAGUGCCUCAACUGGCAUGCGCCGCAGCAGUACGUGAUGCGCUUGCAGGGCGCGCACGUCUUGCCGCGGCCGGGCGCGACAAGCGCGACGAGCGCGCUGGGCCCAUCCAGGCAGCUGCACCCGGGGUUGCCGAACAGCGCGAAGGCGCCUUCCACAGCCACAGCAGCUGCCACCGUGCCGCUGCUGCCGGUGCUGCACCCGCCAUCACCACCACGCCCGCCUCUCGCAGCCGCGCCGCCGCCACCUCCGCUGGCGGCAUCAGCCAGCCCAGCUAGGGGCUAGUCCAACGCCCGGCCGUGCGGCUGUACAGUGCCACGCACACGGCGGACGCCAGGACUGCAUUAGCUCUUCAGAACGAAUGUCCAAUCCGCUCAGGCGGCAGGGCCCCGCCGCCUCCGCCGCCAUGAGGUCUGCCAACACUAGGGCGGGCACUGUCGCAUACCCCGGUCGGGUCGCACGCAGCAGUUAUGUGGCCGGGCUAUGCUGGAUGCCCGCGCCGGCUGGAUGAGUCUCCGACCCCGCCCAGGCAUCCCUCCCACCUUCCUGCGCCCAUGCAUGUGUGUGCUGCCCCACAGGCUCCAGAUUCAUCACUACAGCUGGUUCUAGAUGACCGCACGACAACCCUGAACCUAGGCUUUCCUCGUGGGGCUGAGCCCAGUCCAGGGCUACGAACCGUGGCUACGAACUGAACAAGUUGUUACUGCCGCUCCCGGUUGUGCACCAUAUGCAGCACACGGUGCCGGAAAGCCAUUGUCAAUCCUUACUAAUAGGCGGAAUAAGAUUUGAGGACGGAGCAGCAGAAAAUGACGAGCACGGGUUCCGUCAGGGCGGAAGGGGAGUUCGCCUCUGGAGGGAGGGGAGUUCGCAUGGCCGCAUGGGCGGGAAGUGUGCAGGCCAGGUGCAGCCUUAGUACCAGGACUUAACUCUCAACUUCACUGUCUAUUUACACCUGCUUUCCAUGUUAUGAUACCCAGCAUGCACAGGACAUUACAGGCCGCUGCAACUUGGCAAUGAGCUCGGGCAAAUACUUCCGUCUCUCGCGGGCUCAGUUGCGAUCAGUUAAUUUAAGCUCUGAUUCAGACGGUGGUGGUGCCGAUGGGAGCGAGGCAGCUGCGCAGGUGGGACUUCUGAAGAACUUCUGAAGAGCAAAUUCAGCGACAGCAGAGCAAAAUGGCUGGCCGAGGGUGGAGACAGUCCGAUGUUGAAUCUGUGAGUAGAUCCAUGUCCAAUUGAGCUUGUCUGUGGGGCACGAGGCAGGGAAAAGUUACCAGCCUUCCUCAAUCUUCUUGACGUUGACCCGCACCUUGUCACGUCCUGACCCGCCCGCAGCUCGGCGGCAUCAGUGUAUCCAGCUCACUUGAGCGUCAGGCUAUGCGAGAGCAGCUGGACGCAGUGCGGAGCACCUUAAACACGCUUGCCGGGCCGGGUGCGGGAAUCGCAGGCCCAGCGUCAGGCGUCACUGCUGCGCCCGGCACCAGCCACCCGCCCCUCGAGGUGGUCCUGACAGAUAUUGCGUCAAAGCUUGGAACUAUUGAGGGCCUUUACGGCUCGCUGACUGAACGACUUGACAGCAGCGAGCGCCACAUCAAGAAUUUGCAGCACUUUUCCGCGAGCACCAUUCAUGAGACCGCGCGCCUGGUGAGUAGGGGUUGUUGUGCAACGUCACAGGCUCUGUUAGGAUUCGGCCUUGCCAUAACUGCGGCUUGCCGCCACCCGGGCCGCUUGGCAACACCCUCCGACGCUUCCGCUGUCUCCUACCUUCCUCCUGCCAGCGCACCGCGCUCGCCAUCACCCCUGCCCUCGUACCCCUCCUUCCUUGGACACAGGUCGACUACGUUGGUGGGCGCGCGACGACCCCGUCCCGUGCUACCAGCAUGGCGGGCGGCGCGGGGAGCAUGGGCUUGGGGCCGUCGGUCAACCUGCGCGGCCGCCACAUGGCCGGAGGCGUGCCCACGACGCCGACCCCCGUCACUGGCGGCGCAGCAGGGGCACGCUCCGCUUUGCAUAUCCUGGAGCAGGGCCCCAACCACAUGGGUGCCACGCUGCAGCAGCACGCGGCGCAGAUACACAAGCUGAUUGCGGGGCUGGACUUUCUGGAGGCUCACAUCAUCCGACAGGACCAGAUGGUGGAGUCCCUGCAGAAGCAGGUCACCACCGGCUCGCCCGCCGGCGUGGCGGCAGACGGCGGCCGCAUCCCCAGCGAGCUCUCGGUGCGCAUGCACGACAUGUCGGAGCUGCUCAACAAGCUGCGCUCGCACAUGUACAAGGUGGAGAAGAAGUCGGCGGGCGGCGAGCAGGCGCUGGCGGCGCUCACGGCGCGGCUGGAGGCGCUGGCGGAGCGGCUGCGCGCGGUGGAGGACCGCGGCGGCGGCGAGGGCGGCGCUGGCAGCGGCUCGGCGCAUCGAUCCUCGCACGAGGGCGACCUGUCUUCCACGCAGCAGGUGAGCGAGGCGAGAGGCUACCGCCGGCAGGUUGCGUCCGCACCCGUCCGCGCUGGCACAUGGCCGCAUGUCGCCUACAGAUAAGCAGGUGAUUCAUGAGCUCAAUUGCCCGUGUUGUUGCCCCCGGUCGCAGACCCUCCACGAGCUGGCGUCGGCCCAGGCGGAGCUGCGCGGCAUGGUGCUCGACGUUGGCCGUGAUGUGGCGCAGCUGCGUGACCAGGUCGAGGCGCAGCUGCAGCAGGCCGACUCGCAGCCGCAGGCCGCUGGGUAAGCCCCCGGGGAACUUGCUUGUGAGAUGAGGGCGGCCGUGGCAGUAUGGAGCGUGCGCGCAAUCAGUUCCCCCCCUUUGACUAGCCCCAGCUGAGACUGCAACUUGACGUUUCGUUCGUAUUUCCUCAUGCAGCGUCUCUGCUGCGGAGGGCGCUGAGAUGCGCCGGCAGCUGGCCUUCUUGAUGGCCCAGGUGCCCGUGCUGGUGGCGGAGAACGGCGAGCUCAAGACGGCUGUGGCCUCGUUGCGGCGGCGCCUGCCCGACCUGGACGCCACCCGCGACCAGGUCGACAGCAUGGAGCGGGAGCUGGCGGCACUGCAAAGUGCCGCCGGCGCCAGCGGGCUGCGCGGCCCCGCGGCCGACGUGGUGGCGGACGCCGCGGAGGAGGGCCUGCGCCGCGUUGCGGCGGUUGAGGAGCAGCUGGCGGGCCUGACCGGCCGCGUCGAGGGGCUGGUCAGCCGGGAGGAGCUGCAGUCGGUGGCGACGGCGGCCGCGGCGGCGGAGCAGGAGCUGGCGGCGCUGCGGGAGCGGCGUGAGACGGCGGCCGAACGCCGCGCGUCCAUGCCCGGUGCCGAUGCGGCGGCGCUGUCGGCGGAGGUGGCGGCGGCCGCCAAGGCGGACCUGAUGGAGCACGUGGGCCGCAUGCGGGAGCGCCUGGAGGUGUCGGCGGCGGCGGCUGAGGCGGCGGCGCUGCGUAGCAAGGAGAUGGCGGAGGAGGCCGCGGCCCAGUGCACCGAGGCGGUGGAGGCGGCGGCGGCGCGCCUGGCGGAGGUGGAGGCGUCCGCGGCCGACAUGGCUGCCAACGCGGAGGAGGCUGUGCGGAAGGCUGGCACCGCCGCGGCGGCCAGCGCAGCUGCGGCGCUUCAGGAGAGCGUGCUUGCCAUGGUUGCCGGCGUGGAGCAGGAGCAGGGCGCGCUCAAGCAGCAGGUGCGACUAAACAGGCCCGGCCCCGCGUGUAGCGUCAGUUGUGUUGGCUUGCUUUGCCCUGGGUUACAGCGCGGGCUGACAUGCGUUGGUGUGUAUGUGCUCGCAGCUCGCCAACCUUGCGGCUCAGGUGUCUGAGGAGCAGGCUGCCAUCUCGGCUGGGCUGAGUCAGGUGCAGGAGCAGGUGGCGGCGGCGACCUCGGCCGCCAUGGACGCCGCCACGUGCGCGCAGCUGGUGCAGCAGGCCCAGGCGGAGCAGGGCUCGCGGGCCGACCCGACUGAGGCGCUGCAGGAGGUGCAGGACCAGCUGCGUGAGCAGGUGAGAUUGCCAGGGCAGGGCUGUGGCAGCCGUGGGCGUCCAGAACGAAGUGCAUGCGCGUGGGGCUAUUUGCGCUUGGAGGGCUUGGCAUGCACAGCUACCCUAGCGGGUGGGUCGAGGACUCGAGGCGGCUGUGGCUGUGGCUGUGUGGGGGAGUCCCGGCAGCUGCCCGCUGGCGGUGCACACGAACUGCAUCCCCCCUACCUGGCUACGCCUUCUCUUCACAUAGUCAUGAAUGUUACCCCCCACUUCCUUAGCUAAUCAUGAAUGCAACCCCCCGGUCAGGUCGGCGCGGUGAUGGAGGGCCUGAAGGGCCGCGUGGAGGCGGCGCUGCAGCAGGUGGACGAGCAGCUGGCGGCCGCCGCCGCCGCCAGCGAGGCGGCGCUGCAGGAGCUGCGCGGCGCGGCGGCGGACGCGGCGGAGCGCGGCGACCUGGCGCUGGCCUCGGUGGAGGGGCUGCGCGCGGAGCUGAUCCUGCUGACGGGGCAGGCGGACGUGACGUCCACGCGGCUGGAGGCGCUGGAGGCGGCGGUGGGCGUGGACCCGCGCUCCAGCGUGGCGGCCAGCCCGCUGGGCGGCGAGCAGGCGGCAGGCAGGCGGGUGUCCGCCAGCGACCUGGAGGAGGCGGCGGCGGCGGAGGUGGAGGCGGAGGCGCUGGCCGCGGCCGAGGAGGCGGCCGAUGCCGGAGGGGAGGAGGAGGAGGCGGAGGAGGAUGGCGCCGAGGGCGAGGAUGGCGCUGCGGCGGGCGGCCGGUCUGCGGCCCGGGCUGCGCCGCGUGUGGCGGCACAGGGCGGCGGUGGCGGCGGCGGUGGCGGCGGGCUGUUGGACCUGGUGGCGCAGCUGCGCGCCCGUGUGGGCGGCCUGGAGGGCGCGGUGGAGGCGGCGGCAGCGGACAUGGACGGUGUCCGCGGCCAGCUGGUGGCGUCCAAGCAGGACGCGGAGGACGCCAUCCAGCAGGUGGGUGCGUUGGCAGUGGCGGUGGCGCUGGCGAUGGCGAUGGGGAGGAUGUGGGGAGUGCAGCGGGCUUCGGUCCAGCCUGAGGCGCGCUCAUAUCCGCGUUUUGCGUUGAAAGCGACCUGCUAAGCUGAAAGCCGGUUCUCCUGUGUGGGUGCCUGCAGGCCACGUCGCGGCUGGCGUCGGAGGUGGCGGGGCUGACGCAGGCGGUGGGCGCCAUGGACGAGCGGGUGGCCAGCGCCGCCAGCACCUUUGACUCCAUGGCCGCCGCCUCGGGUGUGCUGCAGCGCCGCGCGGAGCAGCAGGCCGCCAGCACCGCCGCGCUGGAGGCGCAGCUGCAGCAGCUCAAGGUGCGGGGGGGAGGGGGUUUAAGAGGUGCUGUUAAGCAGUGUAGUGGCGGAAGGGGUGGGCGGGACGGCAGGGACUUGCGAGGGGGGUCUGGCGCGCCGGGUGGAAUCUGCGUGUGCGUUUGUUUGCCGAUGUGCGGCUCCUGGCGCCUUUGGUGGUGUGCUGACGCACGUAUUGCUGCCGCGCACGUGCGUGCAGGUCAAGCUGGAGGAGGAGGUGGUGGACCGGGUGCAGGAGACCUCGCAGGCGCUGGCCUCGCUCACGGUAGGCAGGGGUUGGGCGGGUGUGCACGGCCUGUGCAGCCGCGGCUGACCCAUUUCCCGUGGUCCUCAAGGAGCUAGCGGACCCCUACCUCACGCCAUUUUGCUGUGUGCCGCACGUCGCUGCAGUCCCGCAUCUCGCGCGACUACGUGAACCGCGAGCAGCUGGGCGCAAUCUUCCAGGCGCGCGCCGACAUGAAGCGCGCCGUGGACGAGCUGGCGUCGGUGUUCGACACCGGCCGCCUCGUGCGCGAGGUGGGAACAGCGGGGGGGGGGGGUAGGCGGGUGGCAGCUCUUGCAGCAAGGCGCGGAUGUGGUGGUGUUGCACGUUUGGCAGUGGAGAAGCAAGUCCACCCUGGCUGAAAGUACCGGCACGCUGUUGCCUUGCAGGCCUCCUCGGACGACGUGGCGGUGCAGGCGCCGUCCCGCAGCGGCUCCGUGGCGGCGCGCAACGGCAACGGCGAGGAGGGCGCGGUGCUGUCGCCGCGGCUGGUGCAGGCGCUGGAGGACCUGGCGGGCAAGCAGGCCGAGCUGGAGCAGCAGGUGCGGGCGGCACCUGGGCCCUGGCUCCUUGCAGGCAGCUUGGGCGAAGGUGUUCGUAAGCACUAGCUUGUACUGCUAGUCUUGCUCAGGCUGAUCGGCGUCGGUUUGCUGAACGUCCUCCUCACAGGUCAAGCUGGCCCUGUAUCGAUCCGAGAGCAUGGUGCGUCACGAGCAGCUCAACUCCAUCCAGCAGGCCAUGGUGACGCUGGAGAUGCAGUUCCGCCGCAUGGGCGCCGCGCCGCCCGCCUCGCCGCAGCACCCCGCCGCCCUGCCGCCGCUGCCGCCCGCCAGCACCGCAGCCGUCGCGGCCGCCGCCGCCGCUGCGGAGGCGGCGCAGCAGGAGCUGGCGGAGCUGCGCGCUCGCGUCGCGGCGCUGGAGGCCGCCGUGCCCUCAGCCGCCACCAGCGGCGCCGCGGCCUCGCCCGCGACCGCGGCCUCGCACGGACUGGGCCAGGGCCACGGCGCCGCGGGCCACCAUCGCCGCACCGCGUCGCGCGACAGCGCCUUCGUGCACCUGUGCCUCUCGCCGGCAGACCCCGCUGCGGUGGCGGCCGGCGGCGAGAGCCCGCUGCGCGUGCGGCUGCUGGUGGAGGCUGUGUCCACGCAGGACGGCGCCGGCACCGACGCGGACAUGAGCGUGGCGGAGCCGUCGCUGUCUCAGCUGCUGGUGGCGGAGGAGGCCGAGGAGGCGGAGGCGGGCGCGGGCGGCGAGGCGGAGGGCACCAGCCUGCAGGCGGCGCUGGCGGUGGCGGAGGAGGUGCGGCAGCUGCGUGGCGUGCUGGGCGACCUGACGGAGCUGUGUGCGGGGCUGCAGGACCAGGUCACGCAUGCCGCCGAGUCACGCAAGGUGGGUUGCUGCCGCGAGGCGCCACGCGCCACGGAUGGGCGGGUGCAAUCCAGGGUUCGAAUGCGCUUGCACGGCUGCUGAACGGCAAUGUUUACGGCUAGCUAGUCUCUGCACUUACUCCUUUGGUGCCCGUGUGACGGCGCUGUUUCCUUGCAUGCGCCCAGGUGCUGGAGGAGACCGUGUCGGAGCUGCAGGAGCGGCUGGACUCGCAGGUGGCCGCCACCGCCUCCAGCCUGGCGCUGAUGGCCACCAUGGCCACCGACCAGCACGACCAGCACAAGCAGCGCAGCGCGGCACGCCUGGAGACGGCGGCGCGCCUGGAGGCGGCGGCGGCGGCGGGCCGCAGCAGCCGCAGCCUAGGCCUGGGGCUGGCCGUGGGCGGCUCGGAGGAGGGUGACGAUGACGGCGGCGAGGGGCUGGACACGCUGUCCACGUUGGCCCGGACCGUCAACAUGCUGGCGGCGCGGCUGCAGGCGGCGGAGGACCAGCUGGAGGCGGCCUUCGUGGUGCGCACGCCGCGCAGCCCCACCUCCCGCGCCGCCGUGGCGGCCGCCGCCGCUGCAGCCGCCGCGUCAGCUGCUGCUGCUGCUGCGGCGGCGGCGGAGGUGUCGGGUGAGGAGGCUGACGUGGAGGCUGACGUGGAGGCUGCCGGUGCUGCGGAGGCCGGCGCUGAGGCAGCGGCAGGCUCGGGCUCCGGCGCGGCUGGGGCCGCCACGUCUGCUGAGGACGACGGCGAGGAGGAGGACGAGGAGGGCCGCGUGCUGGGCCUGGGCUUGAUGGUGCCGGUGGUGCCGCGCGAGAUGGAGCGGCAGCUGGGGGCGCUGCAGGGCGCGGUGCAGGAGCUGGCCGCGGUGGUGGGCCGCCUGGGCGGGCGCGUGGAGUCGCUGGAGGAGGCGGGCGCGCUGGAGGACGUGCGGGCGGCGGCGGCGGAGGUGGUGCUGGAGGCCAUUCCGGGCGCCAUCGCGCAGCAGCUGGAGUCAGUGCUGGGUCGGCAGGCGGAGCAGGCAGCGGACGCCGCGCGGCGGGCGGAGGCGGAGGCGGAUGCCGCGCGGGCCGCGGCCGCGGAGGCGGCGGCGGCGCGAGAGACGGUGGAGGAGGUGGCGGUGGUGGUGCGCGGCGCGGUGGCGGUGGCCGAGGCUGCGCGCGAGGCGGCGGCGGCGCGCGAGGAGGCGGCGGCUGUUGCCCUUGACGCGGUGGAGUCUGCUGUGCGUGAGGCGGCUGUGGAGGCGGAGGCGGCACGCAACUCCGUGGUUGACGCCGAGGCCGCGCGCCAGGCUGCGCAGGAGGCGCAGGCCGCGGCGGAGGCGGCGGCAGCAGUCGUUGCCGCCGCACAGCCUGCCGCGCCUGCCAGCGCCGGCGCGGACCCCGCCCUGGCGGAGUCACUCCAGGCCGCGUGCGUGGCGGCGGCUGUGUCUGCUGCCCGCGAGGCGGCGGUGGAGGCGGCGGUGCUGGCGGCGCGUGACGCGGCCGCAGUGGCGACGCAACGGGCGGUGGGCGCGGCUCAGGAGGCCGCGACAGAGGCGAUUGCGGCGGCGGCGGUGCGCGCCUCGUCGCCGCGCGGGCGCCCCGACGACGCGGGCGUGGCCGCCGGCCUGGCGGCUGUGACGGCUGAGGUGAAGGAGGUGCAGUCGGGCUUGAGCUCGGUCACUGCCCGCCUCAAUGAUGUGGACUCGCUGCGAGACCAGGUGCGGGUUCCGCUACGUUGGGCGCCAAACUGCCUACGACUGCGUUGUUUCUGACAUGCCCUGACACACGCACGCCCGUCUUCCUCACCCCUGCAGCUGGAGGCCCUGGCGGAGCAGGUGCGCUAUGCCGCCGCCGUCGCCUCGGCCGCCGACGCCAACGCAGCGGCAGCAGCGGCCGACCCCUCGCAGCCCGCCCCGCAGUCCCAAGCGCCCGACACACCACCCUUCAACUCGGACGGCGGCAGCGCCGCCGCCGCCACCGUGGCCGGCAUGUUCUCGCCCUCCGCCACCGCCGUCAUCAUCCCGCCCUCCCGCACCCCGCGCAUGUCGGGCGCCGGCGCCUCGCCGAUGGGCGGCCGCGCCGCCGGCACCGCCGCCGCCACUGCCAGCCAGCAGGCGGCCUUCCUGGCGCGGCUAGUGGAGGUGGUGAAGCGGCAGAGCGGACGGCUGCACGCGCAGUACAGCGACGCCGAGGAGACGGGCACGGCGCUGGCGGCGGUGGACAGCCGGCUGGACGAGGCGCAGGCGGCGCUGGCGGCGGCGGACGUGCGCGACGUCAACUCGCCCGCCUUUGCGGAGACGCUGGUCACCGUGCUGGAGCAGGGUAAGCAGGGCGGGGCUGCGGGGGCUCAAGCCUGCGAUACGGUGUGAUGCAGUGUGUAGGGCGGUGGGGCUGCAUCGUGAGCGAGAGCCAGGACGCAAGCUGAGCACGCCCCCAGUCCCUUGUCGGCUGCUUGCGCUUUCCUUGAUGUGCCUACCGUGUUGCUCCCCCGGACCCGCGCCCCACUGCGUUUGCGCUUGUUGCAGUGGCGGCGCUGCGCUUCAUCGGCAGCCAGACGCACCCGGCUGUGCAGCAGAUGGUGCUGCACCAUGAGAACCGCCUGGAUGAGGUGCGUGCGCGGGUGUUGGGUUCGUGUGUGUGUAUUGUGUGUGUUGUGUGAGUGUGUAUAAAACCAACAAAACGAAGUGUGUGUAUGUGCGUGUGACAAGGGGUGAUGGGCAGUGCCGGGGGCUCCUGUGUCCCGUAGCAUGGCAAUUGAUAUCAGGCAGCGAACUGCCAAGAUGGCCGCGGCUGCUUUGCUGCUGUCGCCUUCCUCAACGCUGCCGCGCCUGCUCCACUGUCUCACAGAUCGCGGAGCAGCUCAAGGCCCUGGCGACCGGCCUGCCUGCGUCCAACGGGGCCGGCGCCGCCGCGGCGGACGGCGGCGCCCGGCCGGCAGCCGACACGGGCGCCGCCACCGCCGCGCUGGCGGAGGAGGUGGUGGGCGUGGUGCGGCGGCUGGGCCGGCUGGAGUCGGAGCUGGGCACGGUGGCGGGCCACACCGCCGCGCUGGACAAGGCGCUGGGCUCCGUCCUGGAGGCGGUGCGCGGCCUGGGCGCGGCGCCCGCCCCCGCCCCUGCCGGCGAGGAGGCGCAGGCGGAGGCAGACCAGGCCGCCGGCAACGCCAACGCCAACGUUGCUGUUGCUGGUUUCUCCUCCUCCGCCUCGUCUGUGGAGGUGGCGGCCCUGGGCGCCAAGGUGCAGCUGCUGGAGGAGGUGCUGGAGAGCCGGCUGGGCGGGCUGCGGGAGGAGGUGCGCGCCGCCAUUGACACCGCCACCGGCGUGGCGGCGGGUGGCGGCGGCGGCGGCGGCGGCGGUGGUCUGGGCAUGAGCCUGGCCUCCGCGUCCGACCUGGCGGCGCUGGACGGGCGCGUGGCGGCACUGCACACCGCCGCCAGCAACAUGCGCAACCGGCUGCUGGCGGUGCAGGAGUACGUGGACAGCACGCAGGUGGGCAGAGGAGAGCAGGCGGGGAGCGCGUGGGGAGUGGGUGUUGGGACGGGCGAGAGAAAGGGGGUCGCGGUUGCAGUUGAUGGGAACGCGCGCGGCAGGGCUUGGCAAGGGUGUGGGAGCGCCGUGUCAGCGCCGUCGUGUACUGACGCGCGCACCCGCCGCGCAUGGGGCUCGCCGCCGGCCGCAUGACCGCAGGGCAUGAUCAAGGACAUGCACGUGGCGGUGGGCUCGCUGCACCGGCGCAUCGACGGCCUGGAGGCGGCGGCGGCGGAGCAGGUCGGCGGCGGCUGGGGCGGCGGCGGCGCGGCGGACGGCUCGGGCCCCGCCAGCGGCCGCGCGAGUGUGUCGGGCGAGCCGUCCAGCCUCAAGGAGGUCCAGGUGGGUAAACACACACACACACACAGCACACACGGGUUGCCAGCCUCGGCAUUGCAAGCGUGCUGCCGCGUUUGUACGCGGUCCUCGUGCGCCCGCCCACCCUGUUACCCAAGGCACUCACACCGCGCGGCAAGCGUUCUGCUAUGGUGUAUGUUGCGAGAGGUUUGGUGUGUGUGUGUGGGUGUGCCCACCCCCCGCCCGCUACUGUUUCCUUAUGGGAUUGGUUAACAGGUACCUCCCUCCCUCCCCCCCCCCCCCACACACACCGCCUGUGCCUGUGCCUUGCAGUCGGAGCUGCUGCGGCUGGAGCACCGGCUGCUGGCGGCGGAGGGCAGUGCGCUGGAGAGCGCCCACGGCCUGGCGUCGCUCAAGGCCCUGGCGCCGCGCCUGGCGGAGGCGGAGGCGCGGCUGGCGGACGCAAGCGGCAAGCUGGCGGCGGCGCUGGGCGGCUCGGGCAGUGCUAGCAGCGGCAUCCCGGCACCGCCCAGCGGCGUGACGCUGCCGUCGGUGGCGGCGGGGCUGCGGGCGCUGGAGCGGCGCGUGGCGUGCCGGCUCGAGGCGGGCGUGGUGGCGCUGGAGGGGCUGACGGGGGCAUUGGGUGCGGCCAGCCGCAUUGAGCGCGAGUCCACAGCCAACCCGUUCAAGGGUGAGGCCCGGGGUUGGAUUUGCAUAGUUCUUCCUUUGCAAAUAAAGAUAUAGCUGUCUCACUCACGUUGUGUCCUGCAUCGGCCGCUCAGUCUCGUUAAGCUCGCCCCUUCCCUCGGUUGUCUCUCACUUGUUCCCACCCACCCUGCUGCCCCUGCAGCCAUCUCUGCCGCUGUGAACAACCCGGUGGUGGCGGCGCUGGAGAAGAAGGUGGAGGCGGUGCGGGCGGAGCUGGCGGCGGCGGCGGGGCUGCUGCUGGACGACCUGCGGCGCGACGCGCGGGAGCGGCCGCCCAGCCUGGACCUCAGCGCGCACGGCGGGGCGGGGGGCGGCCUGACGUUCCGGCCGUGAGGCUGCAGGGCCGUUUGGAAGGCGGCCAGUGGGUGCGAAACCGUCGUUACCGGGAAACUGUGACCGUUGAGGGAUCGCUAUGAGCGGGUUUUGUUUGCUAGCAGUAGUGCUGCAGAAGCAAUCAGUGGUGGCUGCAGUAAGUGGGCCGGUCUUGUGCGAGCUGGGCAGGCCGCGCCCCUCGUGACCUUUCGACUGCAGGUAAUCGUACGGGAUACCCCCUUGUGAUGGGAAGGUGUGAGCAACAGGAGAUUGUGUGGGUCACUCGUCGUGUCGGACUGCAUGCGUAGGCCGUAGGGGUAUGUGUGGUGCGUGUCGGUAUACGGUAUGGGUAAUUGUCGAACGGACCAAACUACGUGAGCAAACCUUUCGGAAUGUGUAAACUGCAAAAGCUGCAAAAGCUGCAGCCACAACCUUGUGAUAGCCUCACACAUUCACACUUGACGGUGCAGGAGCAGGCACCUGCUUUUCUCAGCGUAUUGAGCUGGCCUAAAAUUGUAACAUUGGCGCGGAUCGCCCUUUGCAUUGCCUGGUGUAGCGGGCGGGCACAUAGAUAGCGAGCGUUGGCGGAUUUACAUCGGGGCAGCCAUCUGGGCACGUCGGCACGCCUAUCUCCAAGCUAGGAAGUUGUACGCUUGAUGAUCGGCACUGCUUCAAUCUUACAUACCGUACUCGCAAAUAAUAAUUCCGAGCUGUGAUACACCAUGGCUCAGGCCAUGAAGGCUGUGUUCUCUGCGUCGUUGGUGAGCUCAUCAAGUAUUCUGAGCGCAGCUGAUAAUAUCUCUAUCGCCGAGAACACUCCGGGCGUACUUGUGCGCCCCCGUGACUGCGCUGGCGUCACCCGAAUCAUGGUGGAAGGUAAGCUCUUCACCCCUGCUGGGCUCUUCCCGGCUCUGCGGACCGAUCCUUCACGUCAUACCACUAUACCUGCUCUCAACAUGCAGAGUCGGUGAAGGGAAAGGCCUGCAUGAUUUGCCUGGAGGUCAUGCCGGAGUCAGACCGCUGGGCUGUGAAGCAUGUCAGCACAGAUGAUGCCCACUUCGGCGUGCACCGCGACUGCGCCAGGUCGCUUGGCGGACGCUGUCCCGCCUGCAGGGAGCCAACCUCGGAGCUGAUCGACAUGUGCGAGGUUACGCGUGUGUAUGUGGUCUCAGACGACGCGGACUGACGCGGACUGGCGCCUUAGCUAGGCGCAGCAGCUAUUGCUAGGGGCUCCCGUGUGGGACUCCUCAGUACCGUGGGCUGCUUUGAUGCUAUUAUGAUGUUAUUGUAUAUAAGGCCAGGCACUCAGGCAGGAUGGGGCAGGAAAGCGCAGAGGCGCGUGCGUGCCAGAUGUCGGCAUAUGGUAGUCACCAAAGGGGGUUCCAGGCAUGACUGGUUAACAGAGGGUUGUGUUCGAAACGGCACAGCGCGGCACGGAGUUAAUGCCGACUGCCACCGGUGGUGAGGAUGUACUGCAGAUGCACGCAUAUGCGCUCCUCCCUUCUCACCUUCCCCUCUCGGCCCCCUCCUGGCCUCCUCUCCUCCCCCGCCUCCCCCCUCCAGGUGUUUGGGUACGUGUAUGAGGUGGAGACGGGCCGCAUCCGCGAGGUCAAGUAGGAGCACGGGUUUUGUGCCCGAGCCCACUGAGAUAAGAAGGCCACUGAAAUAAGAGGGGAACGCGGUAGGCGCAGGCGGGGUGCCUUGAGAGUGGGGGGGAGAGGCUGCGGUUGUGAGGCGAUCCGGAUGAGUGAUGACCGAUGAGUGUUGAGUGAUUGGGGGAGAGAGGCAGAGCGCACUGGGAGGCCCCAGAGAGAGGAGCGGCGGACGGCGGCGGACACGACUGGGGCGCAUGCAGAGGGUGCUGUCAGCGCAUGGGCAGCAGCAGCAGCAGCAGCGGCGGCGGCAGCAGGAGGACGGGCGUCUGGCUAGGCUGGUCGUGGAGGCGUGAGGGUGGUGCUGGCGGGAGGCAUUCCGCACUGGUUGGUUGCAUUAUCAUCGAAAUGCGGGCAGCCGGAGGUGGUGUGGGCCGGGUGCAGCAACUCGCACAGAUUGCGUUGUGCACCGGAAGCGGAGUGUGUGUAACGAAUGGUGAGCGCCUCGAGCCCUCGAGUGCUAAUGCGGCCACAUCACGUCUUUCUUUGUCCCAUUGAGUCGGCUGCAGCGGUUGAAGGGGCUUGGCGCACGAAGCUUGCUAGGGGCACACACAAUCAGUCAAAACACACAUGUGAAGGUCCUGGCUUCUUCUACAGCCCCACAAUCCGCCCCUCCAUCGCCACCAGCACCACCGUACUCGGCUGCUGGGUUGCCUGUCCGCACCCCGCACAUCUCAUCACCCGGAGUAGCGGUCUUGAAUAAUAGCGGCGCUGGAGACCUCAAGUGUGCUUCCACACAAGCCGAGAAGCCUUCCCGCACGUACCCCAAGCAUUCGCAUCAAUUCCACCCACUGCUCCGCCGCCGCCGCCGCCGCCGCCGCCGCCGCCGCCGCCGCCGCUGCCGCUGCCGCCACCCGCAAUCUCCUGCUGCCGACCAAACCCUAAACCCCAAACCCCCUGUGCCACAUAUAGCGCCAUGCAGUAGUCACCCGCAGUAGUACAGCAGUAGCAACCCGGUACAGCAGUAGCAACCCGGUACAGCAGCACUGCAGCAGUAGCCUGCCCGGUAGCAGUCGCAACCCGGUACAGCUUCCGCGCACACUCGUGCACUCGUGCAUCCCACCACCAUGACCACUACCACCACUACAGCACACAGCAGCUCGGCCCCUCCGCCAGCCCCUCCCCCGAUCCCUUCCAGUCUUCACCCCGCAAGCCUAUGCUGCUGGCACCCAGGGGCCACGCCUACCUUGCAGCUACGCCAUCCCCUCAUCCCCCCCCCACACAGACCCACUUCACAUCGAACCCCCCUGUCUACCCUGGUACCCCCCUCCUUCACCUCCACCUCCAUGCCCCUCUCCACCGUCACCUCCACCUCCGCCUCCACAUCUCCACUUCCACAUCUUCAUUUCCACAUCUCCAUUUCCACAUCUCCAUUUCCACAUCUCCGCCUCCACAACUCCAUUUCCACACCUCCACUUCCACACCUCCAUCCUGCCAGCGACCUCUUCACACCUACUUGGCUCCCUUCCGCGCCUUGAGCCUCACCACCUCGUCCACGUAGGUCAGCCCGUUGCCCGUGUAGGCGUUGGGGGGGCGGAUGGAGCGGACCUGCAGUGCAGGGGCGGCAGGGGGGGGGCAGGGGAGGGUGAGAGGGUUGCAGGGGCGGGAGGAGAGGGGGGGAGGGGCGGGGGCGCGAGGAGGAAGGCAGGCCUGGCUGUGUUCCAGGUGAGUCUCUUGGGGUUCGCGUUAUCACAACGCAUCGCAGCCUUCGCUUGGUAGUCUGCGGCCAGCCUACGCCAGCCCAGCCUCUGACAGCCGUGUACACCAGCUGAGAGUCACAAGCUUUAGGACGCCGGAGUGGCGCAGCUUGGCGCGCGAUUAUCUCGUCAAAGGUAACGUAGCAGUUGCGGUCGCUGCUCAUGCUCACGCUUUUCUUUUUUGCUUGUGCUAGCUCACUGGCCUCGGCUCUACAACGUCAUGUUCUCUUGUGCGUGUUGCGUUCUUUCAAGCACGUCAAUAUCAGGCGUGGGUGAUGGGGGCUUGCAAGUAGGUGGGGCGGGGCUUGGGUCGGGUGAUAGGCUCAGCAGACACGGCCAUCUGUCACCGCAGGCAGGUGCACGCAGUUGACCUCCCGAGACCUCCUCUCCUCUUUGGGUUGGUCUGGUUAAGCUUGG
rnacentral:lncRNA from 1 species